UUUUUUUUUUUUUUUGCAAGUUCUUUUUCAAAUCAUAAUCACCUUCCCUUGUCAAUUCGUUUAACUGCUUUUUGCUCAUUAGUACUUGAAAAUUUAUUUAUUGAUAGACCACCUUGAUGGAUUAUGUGCAGCCACAUGGCAACUGCUGCGUAUUUAAAUUCUUGAACCACAUGAAGAUGAAGUAGGCCGACAUAUAUUUUGACCCUGAUAGAAUUACCAAAGUGACCUAAUAAUUUUGUUUGAGUUGAUGAGGCCUUGGUUUAGUGGCAGAAAUCCCAAGAAUUUGAGAUUUUAGAUUCAAAUUUCCUUGUCUCGUCUCUAUUUCUUAAAUCUCACAUUUUCUCGGGAAAAAAAUAUUAAUGGGAGGUAUGAGUCUUGUUUAGGUAUACAUACCUCGUGCAAACUUUGUUUAGGCCAAAGGAUUGCACGAUUGGACAUGGUACACUAAAUUUAAUCAUCAAUAUGUGGUGCUUUUAACCUUUUUCAAUUAGGGGUGUCAUCGAUUAAAUGGCUAGCAACCAUCAAGCUAGUUAAUUUUUUUUUAAAAAAGUAUAUUAACGAAUUUGAUUUCCACUUUUUUCCCUUUUCAAUAAGCUAUCUCUUCAUAUACCUUGCCUUAAUUCUACCAGCCCGAGCACCCUUAUUUCUUGGGGGAAAUGGCGAAACUUAUCCUUGUUGAUUUAGCCAAGAAAUUGUAUUAACUCAUUUUGCUCAUGCAAUUUCACUGGACAAAUUUGAGCAAGCAUUUUUAGUUUCAGUUCUCAAAAUUGUCUUAACACCAUCAUACACAUCUAAGCUCAAAUUGGAUUAACUUGGAUUUAAGUUGGUGGAUCUUGUCUCAAGACUAUUAUACGUCAAAAUUUUUCUUAGUUGUUACCUUAGUAUAUUAGUGGAAGAUGAUAGGUGCCAUUGCCAAAGAAAAUGUUUGGACUGGCCGACUAGGUUGUUUAUUUCAAGUGCAGGACGGAGGGCUGAUGUUGCCUUAUAAUUCCUGCGACUUGACUGACUCGUUUGCUUUUCGCAAGGACGAACCCAACCUUUGCUUUGGUCUACCAGCCGGUUGGCUUCUUUGCCUGAGUUAAAACUGGGAAUGAACGGGGAAUAAGUGUGACACUACCGAAAAUUCGUUCCUUAAUAUAAACUACUUACGUUACAAAAAGAAUUAAUCUUCUAUACACUGAUAGUCUGUAUACUUUCACCAUUGAAUAUAUGACGCAUAAUCCGAAUUUGAAUUUGAAAUCCAAAUUUUGCAUAUGUAUCGUAUAUCCAACCAUGAUAGUAUAUACAUUGUCAGUGUAUAUAAGAUUUACUCUUACAAAAAUAGUGGAUGUAACUGACUUCAUAAAGUAUCAACUUUUGAGUAAUGAAAGGGAAAAAGAAGAAGAAGAAGUUAAACUAAGGGUGCGUUUGUCAUAAAACUGAAGUGUGAAAAUUGAAAUAUGAAAUCUGAAUCUACUAAAUUAUUGAAUUAUUAAGUAUUAAAUCAAAUAUAUUAAAUGUAUAUAAUAUUCAGUGAUAAAUGAAUAGCUUAUCACUUAUUUUUUAGAACAAGUUUUGUUUAGAAAAUUCAAUAGCACUUAAUUAAUUUAGAUAUUUAAUUUUUGGUUAUCAAAUAUAUUUUAAUAUAUUAAGAUCUAAAUACAUUAAAUUUUAGUGCUAAAUUGCGAUAUCAAACGGGCUUGUUUAGCCAUAACUAAGAAUGAAUUGAGCAGAGUCCAAAAAACAUGCUAGGGUUGGGCCUAGUGUUUAGUGCACUGUAAAGAGAGACUUUAUCAUGGACAUGCCUACUGACAAGAAAGUAGUUACUUUAUCACGGAACAUUCCUACUAACAAAUAUAUUGGUAGGAAGGUCCGUAAUAAAGUUUCUCUACCAAGGCAAAGACACCUUUAAACAGCCUCAUUAAGGUUUUGUUUGAUAAAACUGAAUUUAAAUUCUGAAGUUUGAAUUCUGAAUUCUGAAUAUUGAAAUAAUUAAUUUGUUGAAUUUUAAGCACUGAAAAUAAAUAUAUGAAUGUCUGAAUUUUAAUACUAAACCUAUUUAUACUGUUUGAUAAACAUUUAUAACUGAAUGCUUAAUAAGUUAAAUUUGAUAAUUUUGCCCUUAUAUCUUUUCAUCCAAAAAAGAAAUAGAACCUAUAAUUUAAUUAGCUAAAAAUGUUAGGUAUGAAAAUGAUAAUAUUUAUUUUUAAAUCAAAUUAAUAUAAAAGAUGAAUUAUGUUAUAUGAGGAGUAUGGAAAAGAAGUAAAAGUCAUUCAAAAGGGAGAAAAGAAAAAUAGAAAAUCAUUAGAUAGAGAAUAUUAGAUUGUUUAAUUAUAUAAGAAUUUUGAAUAUAAUUAAUAAACAAUGGUAGAUUUGGUAGAUAAGAUAAGGUAGUUAAAGUAAUUCUAUUGAUUCUUAUCAGAAUAAAGCAUUCAGUUAGGAUUCUUGUGCUGAAAAAAUUACACACAAGUUUAGCAUUACUUAACAAAUUCAGCAAAUGGCUUUUUAUUUAUCAAACACUCAAAACAUCUAAAUAUCUGAAAAGUUCAGAUUCAAUAUUUUUUUAUGUUAUCAUACAGACCCUAAGCCUCUCUUUUCUCGUUAUUCUGCUACUUUAUCAAUACUAAAUAUAUUCGGAAAGAAAGGUUUGCAAUAGAUCGUGGCAUGUUUGUGUUGUGUUAUUGUCAUGUUUGUGCCGAAAAAAUCUCAAUCUAGUUCUGAUCCACUAAACUUUCGUAUUGUAUGUGUCAUGAUGUGCUCAUUAACAGGUUAACACAAUCCAAUCCAUUUAACUCAUUAAACAUUUUGAAUGACAAUAAUUGUUGUUAAAUGAACUCGUUUAACACACGUUCUAAUCCAUCUAGUCUUGCUGUUGAAGAGUUUGAAGAGUUUUCAAAGAUAAGAUGCACGAUAAAAUCUUCAAAGUUUAAAACAUGAAAGCAAGUGUCAAAUUUCAGCAUCCGCUUUCAAUAAAAAAAAAAAAAACUCAUUACUGAUGCACAAUAAAAUGCAUAACUUAAAAGUCUACAAGUUUUUUUGAAGACACAAUACCUAGUAAAGUCUUCAAAAUACAAAACAAGUUUCAAUGUUUAGAAUUCUCAAUAGAAACAAAGUCUAAUACUUCCAUACAAAAUCAGACAUUAAAGUUAUAAUAACAAAUAAUAGAAGGGACAAUGUCUGUUUUCAUUCCUAAACUUUGGGCCGUUGUCAAAUUUCAUUCUCAAACUCUCUGGCGUAAUAUAUUUAUUGUCUAAACUGUUAUUUUUAUCAAUUUUAUCCUUAAAUGGAAAAUUAAUUAAUUUGAAUGUAAAUUGAGCAUGUAAUGAGCAUGAACCCAUUAAGUAAAAAGAUAUGCACGACUUAAAAUUAGCAAAACAAAAUGGCUAUCUUCACUCUAGCAACUCCAAUACCAUUCUUCCCAACUCCAAUUUCCAUUCAAAUUGACUAAUUUUCCAUUUAAUGAUGAAAUUGGUUAAAAUUUGACAGUUCAAAUACUAAAUGUGUUUUGUCAGAAAGUUUUGAGACGAAAUGUGUCCAUAGUCCAAAGUUUAGGGAUGAAAAACUGGCAUUUUCCCAAUAAUAGAAAAAAAAAACAAGUUGAGAGAUGAUCCAUUAACGUUCAACUAUCAUCAAGUUAGUGUGUCAACCUAUGAGUUGACCCAAUUUGACCUGCUUACAGUCAUAUUCUUGCCAACCCAAUAAUGAUCCACUUACAUCUAAUUCGUAAUAAAUCUAUUAAUAUUAAGUCGUAUUUGAAUCGUAUUAUUGUGUUGUGUCAGAAAUUACCACCCUUAUGAGAGAAUUAGUAGCCAAGGGGAACAAAGAGAAAAAGAAAAAGUUUUGGAUGUCUUCUUGAUGAUAAACAUUAAUAAGUUACAUUUUCUUUCUUUUUUUUAUGUUUCUUCAAAGAAAUUACAGGUGGCAUUCAUAUUAAUUCGUGUAAACUUGCAUAGAAGCCUAGUUGAUUAUAGGGAUAAUUUCAGAAACCUCAUAGGGAUAAUACAGUUUUGUUACCCUCUCUUGAGGUUCUAAAAAUAUGACUAAACUCCCUUGAAACCAACUUUCUUACAACAAUUUAACCCAAUUCAAAAAAGUAACAAUUAAGAAAAAUUUUAGGUGUGAGAAGAUUUAUUUAUGCCAAGAGUGCUCCUCAACUAUUAUACUAGUUGGAUUAAAUAUUUGAUCUAACUUGUUAAUUUACUUAUGGGGCCAUUACUACUCAUGGUCAAUAAAAAAUUUCCAUCAUCCAUAACAAAAAUAACAAUUUUCAAAAUUUAACAAAACAAUUUUAUUCCAUACCUUAAGAUUCACGUUGUUACCACAAUUACAAAAAAAAAAUUAGUCCAAUUGAAAUCUCUUUAUAUUUGAUUCCUUUUAUUUAUCAAGUACAUAAAUUGGAAAAGGGAUGCCUAGUAUUGGAUCCCUUUUUAGAGGCCAAAUUAGAUUCUCUUUUUUACAUAUCAAAUUAUGGUUAAUUUAGUUUGUAAACGGUUUAAUUAUUUCUCAUCCCGAAAUCCUUAAUUUAUCAACUGCAUUACAAAAAUUUAAAAAAAGCACCUAAUAUUACCUCUAUUUUUAGAUGGCGAAUUGAUUAACUUUUUACAAUCCAAAUUAUGGUUAAUGUAGUUAGCAAACAUUUAACUCUUUCCUUCAAAUAUAUGUGUAAUUAUUAUAAAUUAUAAGGGUAAUAGAGUCAUUUAGCCAUUAGCAAUAUAAGCGUUGGGUCCCGAAUGAUUAACAAGGAAGGCAAAUAAAAUUUUUAAAAUCUUAGGGGAGGGCAGUGAAAUUGUCAAAAACUUCAAAGGAGGUUUCUGAAAUUAUCCCUUGAUUAUAGUCUUGGUAUGUUUGUAUGAAUUUAAGCAAGACAAGUUUUUAUCAUUUUAUGUAACCACUUUUCAAGUAAUUUUGUGCAAUACUUAUGGAAUAUUUGAAAUCCAUCUCUUAUAUACAAAAAAGCUAACUGCUACCAUGAAGGAUUUCUAAACAGCCACUAAGUCCAAGGGUGGAAUUGCCACAGCUGUUAUUGCAACUAGGGUUGCUUGUUGCUACCGCCAACUAUACAUGGUGGCCUAGCCCGCCGUUACCUUCUUAUGCAUGGUUUUUGUGGUGGCAAGGUGGUGGUCGCUAGUGGUGGCAAAAUUAGUAAGUGUUGGGUAAAAGGGAUAUGAAAUUUUUUAAGAAAGUUGAGUUUUCAAAAAUUGAUUUCUUGUUGUUCGAGAAGAAAACUUAUUCAUGAUUUAUCUUUCAUGAAAAUCCCAAAUUGCCAUUAACAACUUUUCGAACACAAUAUUUAUUUGUUUGAAAGUAUUUCUUCUAAGAAAUCCCUUGCUUUAAUGAGUCGCUAAGUGAUUAGUUUUAAAAGAAAAAGUAAACUAUUAGUUUUUGAAUUUCUAGAUCAUCAUAAAGAGGGUAUUUAUCAAAGCUUAAAUCAUGUUUUAAGGAUUUUUUUAAUUUAUUAUGUAAUUUGCCAUGAAAACUCCAUGAUUUGACAAAAUAGAUGGAGUUACUUAAUACGCAGCUCCUUGCUCAUCUUAUUUGGUUAUAUACUUUGUUAAUGAAGAUAAAUUUGACUAAAAUGGCUAUGAUGAGGUGUGGAUUAGUAGACUGAGUAGAGUCUUUGAAAAUUAGUUUGAGUCUUAUGACAUUAUUUCUAAACAAUGUCAAACUAUUUUUAAGCAUAGUCUUUUUUUUCAAGUAUUUUUAAUUAGUUAGUUGGUUGUCAGUCUAGGCUAUGAUAUAUAGAUUUAUACUUUGACAAAUUAUCGAGCCUUUCUACUGCAAUGACAAUUAUACUUCUCCUUCAACCUCUUUUUCUUGCGCAUCCAUAUAUUAGUGUUACUUCAACAGCAACACCAAAUUCAACAACAUGCCAAUACUUUUUAAACAUCAAGAUGUUCUUGAUUACUAUACUCUAACGGUGAUAGUGACCAUCAAAAUUUAGAAUGACUAAUUGCAUAAAACAUUUAGAAACCAUUUGUAAAAUUUUGUUUUUAUCUCUCUUGCUUGAGGACUCUUACUUAAAAAACUCCAUUAUCUUUUAUUUGUACUAGUAUUAAUAAUAGCUUAGAGAGAUAGAGAGAAAGAUAGAGCGAGAGAGAGAGCAAACAAGAAGUUCUCUUAACUUUUACUUUUUAGGUCUGCACACCUAUUUCCUUCACCGUAUACAUGUUGUAUUUUGACUUGCUAUAGCCUCCUAUUAGCUCUUUGCAAUUAUCAAUGAUGGAGGAUAAGAUGUAAGAACCAGAACAACCGUGUUCAAUUAAAUUAUGAGAUGUGCAUGAUAUUUUGUAAAGCCAAGAUGAUUCUAUCUCUGAUUGCCCAUUUCUCUGAUGUUGAAUUGGUAGCAAUUCCAAUGUUUCUGCUAAACCUAGCCAAUCACUAUCCUAGAUGAUAUCUCAAGAGCCCACCAAUACCUGCUUUCCCUAGAUUACCUAGUGAGGCACCAUCUGUGUUCAACGUGACAAAAUGGGCAGGGGAAAAGGACCAACAAAUAAGAAUUUUAAUUUUCAAGAAACUUCGUUGCUUGGAAGGUCCAAUAAAACAAAAUUUAGAUAUAAUGAAUAAAUAAAGUCGUAAAAGAUCUUUAGUUCUCUUAAUAGGAUAAAAAAUGAACAUGUUUUAGUCAUACCAUAAAUUCCAGCAAGCAAAAGGAAAUAAUGUGCCCUACGGGAUAGGAUACACACUUGCUCUUGUGUUUUGAAAGCAACCCAUCUUUAACUAGUCACAGAAAGAGAGAUUAGUCAUAACGAUGCUCUAGGAAUUAAAUCUAAGAGAGUUCCAGAAUUGAAGAGCCUUGGAGCAAAGUCUAAUUACAUGCUCAGAGGUCUUAAUAUGUCACAAAAAGGACAUGAAUUAUCAGUAAUGAUAUAUCUCGAAUACAACAUAUUUUUAGUAGGCAGUUUGUCAAGGAAACACAACCAAAUAAAGUGUUUAACUCUCAAUAAAGCUUGAAUGCUCCAAACCCAAGAAGCAUUGAGUGGUUGAGAGAUAGACUGAUAAGGCUUAGGGAAGUGGAAAGAGAGCUUGCAAGCUUUUUUGGACCAGAAUUUGCCAGCGGAAUCAACAGCCCAAAUAAUGGCUUCUAGGCCAUGAUUAGCUUUUUCUUUGGAAUUGCUUUGAUUUCCUGAGUGAUGGAGUCAGGGAGGUCAAAAGAGAUAGCAUGCAAAUUCCAAGGCUAGUUUGGACCAAAAUAGUUUUUAACAAGGAGUACAUCAUUUCCUUGAGCAAAUGGACCUCGAAUGAGAUUUCUAAGGAGCCCCAUGCUAGUACAAUUGUCAUGCGAGAACCUAAUGUGAAGGCCAUUUUUUAUAAUUCAAUGUCUACUAACAUUGAAAAGGUCAACCCUUUGGAGAAGGCAAUUUUGUUAAUGGAUCUAGGGCCUUUUUUGAGAAAGAGUUUCCUAUGGAUGGUAGAGUUACCUUGAUCUACGUAUUUAGCCCUAAAAAUGGUGGCCUAUAAGCUGCUAUUAUCAUUGUAAAGUCUCCAAUUGAGCUUGGCUAAGGCAAUCUCAUUUGUGGCUUUCAUCUUCUCAAUGCCAAGAUCUCCUUGAUUUUUAGGUUGAGUCAUAAUGUCCCAAUUGGUAACACUAAUUUUCUUAUAUUUAUUAGCACACACCAAAGGAAACGCUUGUGAAUUCUACCAAUACUCUCACAGAAGGAACUAGAAAGGGGUGCAUAUGAAUGUAAAAAGAAGGAAUUGCAAAGAUGGCUUAAUAGAUAAGAGUUCUCUUAGCAACUAGAGAGAGGAGAUUGGCUUGCCAACUAUUGAGUUUUUACUAAUUUUUUCUACACUAAAAUUGAAAUAAUUUUUACUGACUCUCUCAUGGAUUAGAGGAAACUCAAGGUACAAACCAAGAUUGCUAGCCUCUCUAAUGCCUAGAGCAUUGGAAAUUUAUUGUCUAGUUCCUUGAGAAGUGUUAGGGGAGAAACAGAUCCAAAACUUGUCAAUGUUGACUUGGAGACUAAGUUGAGAACUCAUCUAACAUUUCUCUCAUAGAGCAAAUUUUGGAGAAAAGUAUGACAUCAUUAGCAAAUAGGCAGUGUAAUAUGAAGGAUCUAUUUUACAGAUAGUAAUUGGUUCCCAUUUCUUAUGACUAUAGACUUAUUGGAUCUUAAUAGAAGGAACUCCAUUAGGUUUCCAAAUUUCCCUCAUUCUUAGAAAGAAUACCAUCAAGUAGUUUUGGCUAAGUCCAAUUAUUCUAGUUUGAUGGCUGAUGUGCGACCAGAUCCUAAUCGCCUUUAUUUUUGGGUGUAUUAAGAUGUUUAUUUUUUUUCUUCCAUUAGCCUUACUGUUUAAUACCGAUGUCGAGCUAAACUUUUGCAGAAUUUCUAUUCUUGGCAUGGUGCUCAUGUUGUGACAUUGAUUUGGAACUCCUGAUCUUAACGUUGGUGAGAGAGAAAGGUUCAUUACUAUUGACUGCACAUCCUUCCUCUAGUUCUAUCUCCCCUGCAUUUAGGUGGUGCUGCUCAUAGGAGGGGUUAGGAUCUGCAAAUUUAGGUUCAUCUACAUAGAGCAAAUUAUGAUGUUUAUGCAUCCCAUAUGUUCAUGCCAGGAUCUGCAAGUUGGAACAUUCUCUUUUCUAGUUUAAGCAUUCGGAUAGGUAGAAAAAGUUGAAUCAUAAGAAUCAUUAGAUUUUAUUUAACCAUCAGUAUGUCGGAUCUGGUUGAUUUCAAUGUGUGGGACUAAGACUACCAUAUAAGCGUAUUACAUAAGUUAUUUUUUUUAAUCUUCAAUGUGUUUGUUAAAAUGAUAAGGUAGAUUAGGGUAUAAUGAAAGUAAUUGGCUAAUCAUUCCUAAAUUGAUUAAAAUUAUGGAUAAGGUAUGCACUCGAUGAUAUGAGUGAAAGAUAUUCUAGAAUUGUAGUGACAUUUUUUUUUUACUUUCUCUCUAUUCAUCAUAGGCUAGUGACCUUUUGUAGAUAACUUAAAAUAGAAAUGAAUAAAAAAAGGAAAUUCCUCCAUCAAUGCAAGAAAAUGAAAGGGCAAAAAAAUAAAGAUUUUGCUUAAGAAAAAGUUUACAUUAUUGGUUUAUUGUUUUGCUAAAAAAAAGGUAACACUAACUUCAAUUAGUAGUUAAGGCAAAGAAGUUUCUACCUAGUGAUGGGUUUUAUUUUUUCCUAGUAUCUUCGAUUGGUAAGCCGAAAAAUCAAUAUGAAUUGGCUAUUUUUCAAUGUCAUAAUAUGCUCCCUAUACUUGGACUUGGGAGAUGCUUUAAUUGAAGUGAUAAAUUAAAUAGAAGCAAAAAAUUUCAGACAAUAAACAAUUAUUGGGAUGUAAAGGCCAACUAAUUUAUGUGUGGCUUUGGUGAUCAACUAUGAAAUAUGGCAAGAUUAUUUGGCUAUAUUAUCCAAAUAGUACUGUUCUUUUUUUAAUAAGUUUUCUCAUAAAUACUUUUCAUUAAUGUGCUUAUGUUUAUUUAUAUAAUUAUAACAAUGUUAAAGAAUCCAUUUGCAGUUCAAUUGUGGGUAUGCAGAUGUAAAAAAUGGUGGUAGUUGCUUCGAAAAAGUUACUCGAAAGUAAGAGAGUUUUUUUAUAGCACAGUAUACAAAAAUGAGUUAGCGCUCUUAAAGUAUAGGAAUCUUGAAGUUGGUCAUAGGAGGAUAUGGCAAAAGUGGAGUAAGAGGGUAAAAGAUACAUUUUGUUAUACAUUUUUAUUUUAUAUGUGUUACUGUAUUUAGUGUACAAUGAGAUGUUCUUUAGCUAUUCUUAGAAAUAAAUGGUAGUUCAUUUAUGUUAUUGUUGAAGGUAAUUUGACCUAGUAAGAUGCACCUGUUUGGUGUUCUCUUUCAAGGGUAGGCAAUCUUUUGAAGGGAUUGGAUAAAGAAAAAAAGCAAACUGUAUGGAAAAUUAAAUGUAGUGGCUUGGUAUAUGUCGAUUCAAUUAUAACACCUAGUUUCUUUGUCAAUGGGUAAUGAACAAUUUUAAUCCAUGGACCUGUGAGUUGUAGAUGAAUAGAGGAAUUAGCCAAUGAAAGAGAUAGAUAUCUAUACAGUAGUUGGACUACUAUGUAGCAAUCCUAUCCCUACAAGGUGCUAUAAAAAGAAGAUUCUUGCAGGCAUAAAAGAUUAUUAAAAACCAAAGACUUACAAUGUAAACUGUAAAGGAUGACAGUCAAGCUCAAAUUCAAGAUAAAGUUUGUGCUUUUUUGUCUAUAGGUGUUUUUUGUUGCCUACAUCAAAGUUGAACAUCUUUGUUUCAUUAUGGUUACAUUUGGUUAAUCUUGAUUCCAUUAUAAAUAUGAAUUGAUGCUUGUACAUGUUAGAUUUUUAUGCAUCUACCCGAAAGAAUGGAAAACUAAUAGUGGAACUGAUGAUAACAAAUAGAUUCUCAGAUGUGUAUUCUUCUUUGUGGUAAGGGCCUAAUUUGUUAUUCAUUUCAUAUGUUAAAUUUUGUAAUGGCUAAGUAUUAACCUUAAAAAUUGAUGUAUUGAGCAAGGUGCUAUACUUCGAUUGGGUUGACAUUAAACACCACAGCAUAAGAAAGACAAGUUCAGCUGUGAGGGCCUGAACUAAUGAAGCAUUUAGGUAACGAUAUCUCAUAUAGUUGAAGCAGCAUAAGAAAUUUGGUCAUGCAAAAGUAUGUGAUAAGUUAUUAAUUGAAAGUCUAUUUAAUCAUUGCUAGCUAUUGUUGUAUUAAUUAUUCAAUUCAUUUUUUUUACUUGAUGGCAAUUGUAGCAUGGUCAGCCGUACAGCUCUACUGCUGAUAGUCUUAUAUUAGCUAGCUGCAAGGCAAAGAAAAAUACAACAAUAGCUAGUCUUAAUAUUGAUGCCAUGUCAAUACUUGAGGAUUUAGAACUAGGAGAACUUGUAGUAUGACAUUAUUCAGCCCAUUGUAUGGACAAUAAUUGAAUAUGGUGAUACUAAAAGUUGUAUGUGGUUCUAAGUGCUAACUCUUUAACUUGUUUCUAUAGCGAUCUAUGAGAGCUAUGUUUAGUAUGACAUUUGAUCUCACAAUGGUACCAAUAGCAAAGGAAGAGCUUGGUCGAAAGGCAGUGAAGGCUCUUAUAUUGAAAGUAUUUCAUGAAAAAGACAUACAGUUAUUGGUAGAUGGUCAUAGUUGGCCGAAAAAAUGAGAAGGCGGCUAGGAGAAGGAAGAGGAAUAGAAUGAAGGCAAUGGAGAUAAAAACUAGGUGAAUUUUGAUGUCAAGAAUGAGAAGGAAUGCAAUAAGGAGCAUACUAAAGAGAGAGAACCCCCACAAGAGCCCGUGGCCAAAUAGUUUGAGAUUUAUAAGACUGGUAGCAAUGAUAUCAGUGUCGAGGGAUCAAUGACAGUUAGUGAACACACAGCUCUGAGCAUAUUGACAUAUACAUUAUUGCAACUAGAACUCCCAUGUUAUAACUAGAUGCAAGCAAAAAGUGAACUACAUGAUCGGUUCACUCCUCUAAAUGACAAAGGUAAUUGCACAAUAAAUUUCAUGUUAUUGACUAGCCAAAUAGUCGUGCAUUUUAUGUUGUUGCAAACUUAAUGUAAUUUUAUGCACUAUUAGUAUGAUUGAUCAGAUGUUUCAAGUUUUGUACUAUAUUGAUUAUUGGUUGUGGUCAUCUGUCAUGAUGCAGUUGAGAAGACAAUGGUGAGACAGCCUUGAAAGCAAUCAUUGUCAUGAGGGGCGGCGAUGCUAUAGAAGGAUGAGAAACAAUGACAAAUCCCAAUGGUGAAACAGAGUUAGCCGAGAAUAUUCCUGUGCUAAUAAAUGUUCCUAUAUAGCAUGAAUGCAUCAUAUACUACAUAUUCGCCAAAGAUUCCAAUAGAUAGAUAAUUUAUGGUUGGGAGUCGAGUGCAUUCAUUUGAACAUAAUGAAUCUCAAAAAAUUUGUGCCCAAUAGACAAGUUGUUUAUUGUGCAAGCAUUGCUAGCUAAGUCCACUUUUGAAUAACAACAUGCAAGUAAAAGAAAAGUUACUUGGAAAAAUGAUUGUUAUGAGUACAUGAUUUUUGUCAAAUUUUUAUAAAUAACAUAUAUUAUCUCGGUGGUGAUAAUCAUAAAUAAUCAUUGCUAUAACAUAUCUUAGUUAAAGUGGGAGAGGUCAGGCGUAGAAGGAUGACAAUGUGAAACAAACGUGUAGAAUUAGUCGACUUUUGUCAAAUUUAUAAGCAAUUAAACACUAGCUGGAUAGACCAUCAAUUUUAUUCUUUUAUUUUGUUGGAUGGGGUUGAUCAUGGGUAAGAUUGUGUGUAAUUAUUAGGAGUUUCACCUGCUCAAAACUAUAUUCUAUAAGUGACAUUAUUCACUUGUAGUUACAAGUUGGUGGAAAUGCCUAGGUUUUCGCUUGUAGAAAGGACUUCGUACCUUUUUUUUGGUAAAGAAAUCAUUUUAUUCAGUAUAAAUGCCGAUGUAUUAUAGUUCUUUCUCUAAAUCUCUGGUUUUUGUAGUACCUUAACUUUCAUUGACUUUGAAUGUAGAUUAUCCAGAUGUAUACGCGCAUUUUGAAUAGGAGAAAAAGGAAAAGAGUUUAACAAGUUUUUUUUGUGUGCUAAUGCUGGUGGUUAGUAACAUCUCGUCCUCAACAUUUUGCUGAGAAUUAGAAAAAAUUUCUUGUAGUUACUAGUUUUUAUGCAUAACCAUUGACUAAGUUUUGUCAUAUUUUUCUAUGUAUGAUGAAUAACAAGAAAGAAUUCAUUUGCAUAAACAUUUGGAAAGAAAGGUUGAUGCAAUUCUGGCAAAAUAUUUUCAGUCGAUUUCAUAAUAAAUGAUACUUGUGUUGACCUCUCAAAAUGUGAAAUUGUAAGAUUUUUUUGGAUACUCCAACAUUGGAAUCACAUUCGUAGCCAUCAACAUUGCUUAUUUGACAUUGUCACCAAAAAACUUUCAACCAAUCAUGUGAAAGAAUCAAUUGUCUCAUCAUAUAGUAGUGCCGCACCAAAAUCAACAAUUUGUCGGUGAUGAUUGAAGUCAAUAAACGCUCCAAGUGGCCUGUACUCUUUGUUUGUCCUAUACAUUGUGUCGAAUGUAACCGUCAUCACCGAAGAACAAAUAUUCAACUCUUACUUGAGCAUUUGUCUAAAAAUCAUUUGUGAUAUGUUCCUCAUAAUCUAAUUUCAUAGUAUAGAAAUAAUUAGGGUUAUUACCAAUCUAUCAUUUAAAGUGCCACAUCAAGAUUCCUAUCUUACUAUACAUUAAACUCCUCCUCUUACUAGUCCAUAGGUACCUUCUUAUAUCCUCCCAUGUGUAACUCAAUUUGUGUGCUCCCCUUACUUGUUUCACCAUUAAGUUAUACAUUUUGGUAAUUAAUAUAUCCGAAACUUCUACAAGUUCAGCCUCAAUUGCUUGUGCCUUAUUUAUCUUUCUCUAUGAUACAAUCAAGUGCUCGAAUUCUAGGAGAUAUAGUUGGUGAUUAUGUUCAGUAGCAAAAUCUGAAAUCAUAUACUUCUUUAAUUUUCUAUUCAAGAUGAUACCUAAUCGUAGAUUCUCCUAUAUUUUGCCUUCCUUAGUGCAUGUGAAUCUCCUAGACAUUGGCGCUUUAUUGCUAUUUCUAUUGCUGUACUCCCUUCGCAUACUAAAGCCUUCAACUGUUGCGUAAGAAUUGUAGAAUUCAGAAGUGUUUUCGUCUAAGUUAAACUCCAUUUGCAAACUUGGAAUGCUGCAACUAAGCAAAUGCAUCCCCUUAUCCUUAACAUGAUCCAUGCCCUUGAUUUAUAAAAAAUAAAAUAUAAAGUUGUCGAUACUCCUUUCAUUUCAAGUGCUUCGGUCACAUUCUUUUAAGUUCAAUUGUCCAUGAUGUGUAUAGUGCGUGUUACGUGAAAUAACUGCUUAUUUACACUUAACCACUGCAAAUUUAAACUAUAUCACUAGACAUUUUUUUCUUUUUUAUCCCAAAUAAUUUCUAAACUAACUUCAGUUAGUUAGAUCUCCCAUUAUCCUCUAUUUUUUCUUAGUUCUCAAAUCACUAGAUAGUGCUCAUACAUUCAACAAAAAAGCCACACAAAAGGGAUCAGUCUUUGCUAUGAUUAACUAAAAAUAAUUAAAGGAUAAAAAUUCUCACAUUAUACAUAAAGUAGUAUUCAGCUCCUAGAACAAUUCUGACCCAAAAAUAAUAAUAAAAAAUAAAAAUAGCAAUUUGGUUAGAUUACAAUUUUUUAUUGAACUUUUGAUACGUAGGUAUCAAAGUAUUCCAAACAUUUUGAAGCUUUAAACACUUCCAAAACAACAUCCGUAACCAUCCUUUCUCCACUCAAAGAUUUUUCUUAUUUUAUGACAUAAAGUAAACUCAAUUCUUUAUAUACAUGUAUUUGCAUCUUUACUGCUCACUAAGUCUUCCCAUUCUCAUACUGUAUAGGAUUUGAUUAAAAGUUUGCUCAUUCACUUUUCAUCUUAAAAAGAUAUAUAUCACCAGCUUCAAGUCGGGGAUGUAUUGCAUACCAGAUAUGAGAUUUGUUCUUAACAUUGGUUGAUAAAGCUUAUGCCCUUUGAAUUUGAUAGUCCACCAAAUCUGGGAUCCCCAAAUCUAAUUUGAUAACAACACUGAAUGUAGAUCCACUCUUUUCUUCUUUAAUUUUCCUCUCAAUUUAAUCCCAUGUUUUCUUCUUUUGCUGCCAAUAAGAUAGCUCAAGAAAAAGAAGCAAACAGAGCACAAUAAUAGAUAUAUUUUGUAAAACUUGAAGUUGAUUUUUGGCUGUAAGCAGAUGAUAGCCUCUGUCUGCUAUUAAUUUCAUUCAUCAAAUUUCAAAAACGCAAAUCAAUUUUUUUCCCUAAUUCUAAAGACACAAAUUUAUUUGUGUAACAGGUGUGAAACACCAUUUGUUAGUUUAGCCGCAUUUUUCAUUUUAUUUUUUUGCUCAAUAUUAUGUUGUUUUGGCUAGUUUUAACUUAAGGCUCAGUGGUCUAAUCUGAUCCAUCUAUUUUGGCCUUUUAAUCUCAUCUACAAAAUUGCUGGAAAUGGAACUUACGAGGCCACGUUCAUGAUCCGUCUACCCACCUUUUCUCUCCUAGAUUUCAUUACUCCAUCCCGCUUGCCCUUUCUUCCUUACUGCUUCCUUUCCCUUCACUUUCUCACCAACUUGCCCUUUCUAUCUUUGCAUCCAUCUUCUCAAGAAAAGGGUAUGAAUAUGGGAAAAAAGGGACCCCCUUACUCUUUUCUCAUUUGCCUUUGCUUCCUUUCUCUUCCCACUAUCUCACUAGCUCAUCCUCUUUCCUUACAUCCUUCUCCUAGAGAAGGGGGAUAGAUAUGGGGAAAGAGGGGAUGGAAGAUGAGAAGAAGGAUUGGAAAAAUGGAGCUAUGAAGAGUGCAAGAAAAGAAGAAGUAGAGAAAGUGAUAGAUGAAGGGGUGAAUAAGAGAAGUAGGUUGCGAGAAAAGGGGUUGUAGGGCAAUGGUAGGGAAGAAAAAGGUUGGGAAAGGAGAGGGGCAGUUCGAAGAUGGAAAGAGUAGGAAGAGGGAUGGUAAGAGGGGGAGGCAUGGGAAGUGUGAAAUAAAUAAAAUACUCCAACACCACAUUUGGUAUGCCAAAAUGCUCAAAAUAGAUAGGUCUUUCCACUCAAAAUGUCAUUGUACUUAAAAUGAUACGAAAAAAUUAAUUAUUCUAGAAUUCUCGUAUGUGAGUUAGAAUGGAAUACAUUUUCAAUAUUUGUAUAAUAUAUUUUUAGAUGUCAAAAAUGAAAUAAAAUUUAUAAUUUUUGGCUUAAUUAUCCUAAAAUAUAUUAUAAAAUAUUACAUUUUUUUUUUAGUUUUUGUUGUGUUUGUUUCUACUUUACAAGUAAUUUUGAUUUUUUAUAUUUUAAGAAUAAUUUAUGUACACAUUGAAACAUUGCAAUUGUACUAUUUUAUUAAUUUUGAAACAUGAAUUACCUUUUGUUUCCAUUAGCAGUAUAAUUACAACUUAUUAAAAUUAAAUUACAUGAAAACAAACAUUCAUGACUCUUUCUUUAUUAUGCUUUCAUUGUCUAUAUCACUUGAAAAAAAAGAUCUUGAUACAUUUUCAACAAAAAUGUAGAAAGAUGAUAUCUUAAAAUUGACAAAGAGAAAAAAAAUUUAAACAAAACUAGAAUCAUCUGUCAAAAUAAAUUAUAGUUAAUUAUUGAUUUAAUUAAGAAAUAGCAUAAUAUUUAGUAAUUGAGUAAAGAAGUGUAUAAGGGAAAAUUUAUGACGACCCCACCUCCCUCUAAUGUGUAUCCAAGGGUUUGACGGACUGUCUGUUCAACUCUCGCCAGGACUCACUACAUUAACUACAUAAAAUUCUCAAAAUAACCGUUCAAACCUCCAAAUUAACAUCAGACUUCUACAAUUUAACCAAUAAUUCAAAUUUAAUUACAACUCAAAAGUGAAAUGUAAGAUACACCAUCAAAGAUAAAAAAUACUAUCUGUCUACUAAAAGUACAUGUGCAAGAGGAUCAGCACAGGCUAGUUCAAACUUAUCCGCUCUGGACCUCAACUCUUGUAAGAAAAAUAAACUAAUAGGAUAAGUUUACGCCUAGUGAGGUACCCAAACAAGCAUCCAAGCAAAACACCAUUCAAAUCACAAAAAAUAUUUCAUUUAAUAAUUUCACACACUUUGUACAGUAAUAAACAGUCUCAAAACAUUCAAGAAAUAACAUUCAAUCAUUUAAAGGAUACGAGUUCAUUUGGAGCCAUUCAUUCAGUCUCCGCCCAUCCCUUCUUUGUAACUUUCAAUAUUUGAAAACAAAAACUCUUACGGUGAUCAUUUAAUUCAGUUAAUCAUUCGGUCAUUGCAUUUCAUUUACUGACCAGUACUCCACCCGGUUUCGUGGUCAUACUCGAGUAUAUCAAAACAGUGGCUCAGGAUUACCAACCUACCCAACCGAAUCCACUUCUGGCUCGAAUAGGCUAGCAACGAAGGAUAAGGGUCCAAUUCAGCCAAUGUGAUAAAAGUACACAUGGCUUACAUUCAUACUCAAGUAAUAUUUAAUCAUUUGAUUAUUAAAAAAUUCACAUUCACUUAGGUCGAGUGCUGUAAAGUAUACACUCGCCAAACAAUAGUAUAGUGAUCAUUGAAAUAUAUUUAACAGUCAAAUAGGUAAAUAACCACAUAAUCAAGGCAUCAAUUCAUAAACACAAGGAACACUCACCACUUGACUUCAAUGUUUCCACUUCAAACUCUGAUUCGUCUGCUCAAGUCCUGUGGUCAUAUAAGCUUUUAAGAGUCUAUUCAUUUAAAAUCAAGAUAAAUGAGAAAAUAUGAAUUCGAAACUUCACUUAACAAACACAGAAAAUUGCAGGUUUAACCCUAAUAUAGCUUUCGAAAGGGCCACAAUCUCUUGUUCAAAUCAAGUUCAAAUCAAGGGAAAACUACAUGUAUGAAGUCUAUGUUUCAAGUAUAAUAUGGAGCAAGAACAUGUUAAUUAUAACCAAGAAUUUUGAAGACAACGGGACAAGAUUUUCGAGGCACAAAACUAGAAAUUUCGAGCAAGAAAAACAUGUUGAAGAAAACUCAUUUUCCUUCUCUUGUCUUCUUUGUUUUGACUCAAAUCCAACAUAUAAGUGAAGAUUUAGAUUUAUCAAAGUAUCUUGAGCAAAACAUUGCCAAAAUCACCCCCAAAAUUUUGGAAAUCAAAGCUAGAAAAUGGCCAUUUUCUAGCUGGCCAACUCUAAUAGAAAUUACAGCAAGUUUUUUUUUUCAAAUUUUCUAACAAAACUUCCAACCUUAUUUUCUUGGCGAAACCACUAUCAAUCAAGAUAUCAUGUCAUGAUAUAUAUGAACCAUUUUCUUAGCAAAACAAACCCAUCAAAAUUUCACAUAUUCAAAACUCUAAACUAAACUAACUAGAUUAUGCACCAAAGCUAAAAAUUGCAACAUAAUCUUGACAAACCAUGAAAUCUUCCAUAAAAAUCAUGCCUUUGACCUUAUAGAGUAUCAUCCAUUAAAUAGACGCAACGACAAGUGAAGAAAGAUAAGAUUGCUAUCAAGUUUACCUCUUAAAUCCCACAAAAUGAACCUGAAAAUUCACAACAUAACCUGAAAAUCAUGAAAGAUAAGGGAAAAUUUGUGAGAACCCGUAAAAAACCCUAAUCUUUUCCGAGGGUUUUAUUUCUUUUAAUAGCAUGUUUUCUGCAUUUCCUGGCUUAGGAAAUUUUCCUGAGGAAUUUUUAUGAGUAAUUAUAGUUUUUAGAUGAUUUUUCUAGUAUUGGAGAGUUUUUGAAAAAUUAAGAAUAUAUAUUGGACGUGGGACCCACUAGUGCGAAAAGUUCGGAAAAAUUCGGCCAAAAAUGUAGUUUCGGGUACUGUGUGAAAUUUAUCGGGUGUUAAGAGAUAAGUAGAGAGUGGGAUUUGAAUGAUGUGAGAGGAAAGGAAAAUGAUAGGAGUGCAUUUAUGAAGUGCCACGUGUCGCUUGGUGAUUGGUUUUGACUUAAGAACACUAUUCACCUUUUUUGACUUUUGACCAAAAUUGGUUAAAUAUCUAAAAAUUUCACAAAAAAUCACCAUUUUCUUUCACCUUGUGGCCGGCCCUCUCUCUUGCCAAGAAGGAAGAAAACUUCUUCAAUCUUCAAGCUUGCCACUAGCUCAAAUCAUCCAAACCAAUCACACAAACUAGUUUCCACUCCAUACAAUCUUUCCAUUUAGUGUUAGUGGUGAGUUUGGUGAAGUUUUUGGAAGAGCUAAGGUGGUCUACAACUCCUCUUCUCUUGUUUACUAGGUAAGUGAUGAUUGAACAUCCUCUUAUAUCUAAUGAUGCUUAUUUUGUGCCUAAUGGUGGCUUGGGUGAUGGAAUGUGUGAUUUAUUUCUUGAUUUGAAGUGAUUUGGUGAAAUUUUUAUUUUAUUGAGGAAUUUUCUGGUUUAAUAUGAAUGGGAUGUUGUGACUAUUUUUGAUGAUUGGCAAUGGCUUAUAAUGACUCUAGUAGGUGUGAAUUAUUGAUAAUUGCAAUCAAUUUUGGGUUUGGAUUGAAAUGAGAAAAGUUAGGGUUGAUAACCCCUAAUUCUGUCCGGUUUUGGAUCAUAAGGUUAGAGGUCGAAUUGGACUUUGCUCAAAACAUGAAAGUUGUAGGUAUUGAUGAGUUUGAAGUGCCUGCAAAAUUUCAGGUCAUUUGAAUUAGUGUAGAGUGAGAUAUGUCGAUUUUACUGUUGCUGUUCUGGGUUGAUCAGAAUGCGAAAACUGCACUUAUAAUUGGCCAUUUUGACUGGAAUUGCUUUGGAUUUGGAUGUUGGUGUCUUCUGAUGAAAUGUAGCUGAAUGUCUUAGCUAUCAUAUGCCCUUGGAAUCAAUGCAUUUGGACUUGUAUAGACUGAGUUGUACUGAUUACAGCAUUGUGUGAUUUGUAAACCUGUUUUUGGUGGUUCUGGUUUAGUAUUUGGCAUAUUUGACCUAGUUGUGCUAGGAUUUGGUUUGGGUGGCCUUCUACAUUGUUGUAGCCCUGUUUUAUAGCUUCGAAACGGUGGGUCUUACACCCCCAUCCGAUAAUCGUAGUGGACUUGGUGCUAUUACCGCAUAAUGGAGUCAAAUACGGUUUCUUUGUUAAGGCUUAAGCUAAAGCCAUUUCUUAAUUUCUGGUUACCAAUGAUGCUUAUUUAUGCAUAUAAACCCUAUUGGGGGUUAUGAUUGGCAUUGCUAUAUGACUCGUUAUCGAGUCUCAUUAUAUUUGUUUACGUGUUCUAGGGCGUGACGGUGGUUCACGACAUUCUCCUGACGGAAGUGCAUGAAAUAGCACUUAAUUGAUUGGUGAGUAUACUACUCACUUAAUUGUUACAAUGUGGCUUUGUUAUAUGUGAAUUUGAUGCCUUGAAGGCUUACUUGGCUAUUGGAAUUGAUAGAGGUGAGGGUGUACUUAACCGCCCUCACCCCUUGUGAUCUUCAUGACUGUUUACCGUUUACUGAAAUACUGCAAUUGAUAUAUGAGAUAUUGAAUUCCUUCCAUGAAAACUGAUUUGGUGUCGUUUGGACGAAUAUCCAACGGCCUUACUGUAUUACUGAGCUCAACCUCAUUGGUGGUCAAUUGAAUCGAGCCGGCGAGGGCUUGGUCGUGAAAAUUGACUUGCCACGGGGACUGUACUGGGGAAUCUUGUAGUAAUGAGACUCUUGGUUCCGGUAUACUCAAGUAUUACCAAAAGCUACUGAAUUGGAGUGCGGGCCCGGUUGGGGUAUGUUUGGUGGAAGGAAUGGAGUGAAGUGAGGUCUACGGUCGGGUAUUCUUAAACAUUGACGGAGGGUCAAUGAGAUUGGAUCAAGAAUGUAAGCGUGGAAAUGGGCUCUUGAGAGCCAUCCGUAUCCUUUUACUGACUUGUUUUAAUUCUUAAUUGUGUACUCGAAAUGAAAGAUUAUGCUUAUAUGAACCUUGUUGCUUAUGUGGUAGUAACUCACUGGGUUUAACCUCAUUCCGUUCCAUUUGUUUUCCUUACAGGAAAAUGACCACUUUUGGAAAGAUUAUACUUGUUGGUUGUCAAGUUGAGCUCAUGUAAAUGUAUCUUUUGGAUAGCUCUUCGAAUGAAACCCUAAUGUGUAUUGGGUUCACUUUCUUUUGAUUGGCAAACCGAACAUGUAUAUUUGUAAUGAAUGGUUUUGAUAUGCCGCUUUGGCUUGAAAAUGUUAUAUUUCAAUGUGUGUAUGUUUGGUUGAAUUUCGGAUCAACUCGUAUUUCAAACGACAAAAAGAAAAUUUUGGCUACUCUCGGCCUAGUAUCUGGAUUCUGACGUGGCCGGCGUUGUUCAUCAUCGGCGCGUUUUCAUUUUUUUAUUUUGUAAUUUUGACUUGUUUACGCGCGUGGGUAUGUUUCGGAACGUAUUAGAUCGACGUGAACUAAUCCGUAGUCCUGGCGAGAGUUGGGCAGGCAGUCCGCUAACCCCUUUGGUUCGCCUUAGGAGAAAGUGGGGCUGUUACAAAAUUUCUAUCAAAAUUCACCGCUUUACCUCCAAAAUCUUAGAUGGACAGCCAAGCAAGAAGUACUCAAGGGUUUCUUCCUCCAAAACUUCUCCAAUAGCUUCUUUCCAAGUUUGGUUCAAGGUUUGUCGGAAUAGACUACGGUUUUCUCUUGUUGUCUCUCACUAAUCAAGCAAGAAAUCAAGGCUUGAACUUGGAGUUGGUUUCCUCUCAAGUAUUUCGGCCAAGACAAAAUAAAGAAGGAAGAAAUACUGAAGAAAGAAAAGAAAAGAAAGAAAAGCUUAUCUUGGUCAAGGUCUUGGUCAACUUUGGUUGGCUAUUUGACAAAUGUCAAGAAAACAAGAGAUAUCUAUCUCUUUGUCUCUCUAUUUGUCUCUCUAUUUGUCUCUUGUUCACCAAGAUAUUUAGGGUUUCUCCAAUUAAUUCUUAACACCUCAUGUCACAUAGUGUCUUUUGCGCAAAAUUCCUUCUAAUCUUCCAAAUUUUUGCGCAAAUCAUAAUGCAACCAUUAAAACAACAAAAAAUUUAAGACAAGUAAAUUCAAAUAAAAACUAUAAAGACAGGUAGAAUUUCGGGUCCUUACACUCUCUCCCCCUUAAAAGAAUUUCAUUCUCGAAAUUCUAACCUUUGUUCAUUCUACAGGAUUUCCUCCAACUCUCAAGGGGCUUCCCCUCACUCGUGGUGCUACCACAAACUUGUCUAGAGGAAAAAUCUUACUAACGUAAUGGCUAAAUUAACAUGCUAAGAAAGAUCAAUAAAGGUGUUAAAAGGUGCAAGGUGAUAUAAACUUAGAAGUCAAUGAAAAGAAAAAAUUGUAACUACGCAACUUGGUUGCUACUUUUGUUAGCUCUUAACCUCAUACACUAUGCGUUGUCAAAUCGUCCACAAUAUAAAUCCCCUAUCAUCUCUACAAUUGUAUCACUAGGCACAUAUCAGCCUCUCUAAUCAAAAUUUCUUCCUUCCUAAUCACAAAUAAAAAAUUCAAGACUAAAUUGCCGCAAUUGACUCAUGGAUAGGGAUUCAAUGCCAACCAAACACAGACAAUUAAUAUCACUAAUACAAAUAUCAGGAUUCAAGUUCAAGAUUUAUACCUGGAUUCUAACGUACUACACAAAACUUUCGCUCCAUAUAGUUCAAUAGAUACAACUCUUCCAAAUAAAACAUCGUGAAGAGCUAAUUUCGACUAAAACUGCAGAUUUUCCCUUUUGCGAAAUACAUUUGUUUCGGACAGUCUCUCAUUUGAUGUCCAAGAUUGCUGCACCUAAUAGCUUGCCAGACAAAUCAAAGUACCUAAGGGAUAACUAAUCACAAUUCAUUCGAUUCCAAGCUAUCCAUGAACAAUUAAUCUUUACUUUGCAACUUAACUAGACAAGAAAUCUAAUACAAGUAGGAAUCUCGAGAUACUAUGACAUGUAUUUUUAUUCUUGGUAUGGUACAAAAUAGUUACCCUUCUCGUUUAGAAAUUACUCCUAUCCGCUUGAUUUCAAAGUUCCACACCUUAACUCACUCUCUAUCACACACUCAUCUCCAAUAGACUUGCUCAAGGGUAGUCUAUCAGGGGCCAAAAUCUAUUACAAGGGAUCUACAUAUGUGGUUGUAGUUAGACCACUUUAAAAUUAAGUAAACACUUAACAAAUUUGCACAUUCAUAGGAGAAGAGAAAUAGGGCUGCAGUGCUAACUUCUCAAACAGGUACGACAAUUUAGCUAUCAUCUAUAGAAACCCUAACCAGACAUUUACUAGACUAAUCCAUGAUGGCACUUCACAAUCCAAUCUCCUCAAUUGGUUCAAUUCCUAGGUCAAAAAUUAGAAUCUUCCGCGCCUUGACCUUUGCUAUCAAAACUUUUCUCAAAUUCAAUCGUGAUAUCGACUCUCACCCUAAUGCUCUCAAUUCUUUAGUACUCGGGUACAAGAAUCCAAAAUAGGAUAAUUUACAACUCGAGUGUGUCAGAUCUAAGAGUAAAUCAACUACAUUUAAGCUUCUUAUCUGACGUACAUAUCUAAUUUUCUCAACAAUGGCAAUUUAUUCCACAUUUAACAAGUCAUUCCCCACAGUCUGAGAACCCUUUUCCGGCAUAAGUUCAUUAAGAGUUCUAAUACCACCUGUGACGACCCUACCUCCCCUUAGGAUGUACCCAAGAAUUUGGUGGACCACUUACCUCACUCUCGUCAGGACUCAUUACAUUCAAUACAUACAAUUCUCAAAAUAAUAGUUCAAUCCUCUAAAUUAACAUCAGAGUUCUACGAUUGAAUCAAUAAUUCAAGUUUAAUUAUAACCCAAAAGUGAAACGUAAGAUACACCAUCAAAGGUCAAAAAUACAAUCUGUCUACUAAAAGUAUAUGUGCAAGAGAAUCAGUAUACGUUAGUUCAAACAUAUUCGCUUUGGUUCUCAACUCUUGUAAGGAAAAUAAACUAAUGAGAUAAGUUUACGCCCAGUGAGAUUCCCGAACAAGCAUCCAAGCAAAACACCAGUCAAAUCACAAAAAAAACUUCAUUUAGCAAUUUCACACACUUUGUACAAUAAUAAAAGUCUCAAGGCAUUCAAGAAGUAAUAUUCAAUCAUUUAAAGAAUACGAGCUUACUUAGAGCCAUUCAUUCAGUCUCCGCCCAUCCCUUCUUUAUAACUUUCAAUAUUUGAAAACAUUUGAAAACAAAAACUCCUACGGUGAUCAUUCAGUCAGUCAUUCAGUUAUUGCAUUUCAUUCACUGACCAGUACUCUACCUGACUUCGUGGUCAUACUCGAGUAUAUCAAAACAAUGAUUCAGGGUUACUAGCCUACCUGACCGAAUCCGCUUCCUGCUCGAAUAGGCUAGCAACGAAGGACAAGGGUCCAAUUCAACCAAUGUGAUAAAAGUACACAUAGUUUACAUUCAUGUUCAAGUAAUAUUCAAUCAUUUGACUAUUGAAAAAUUCACAUUCACUUAAGUCGAGUGCGGUAAAAUACACAUUCACCUAUCAAUAGUAUAGUGAUCAUUGAAAUACAUUUAACAGUCAAACAGGUAAAUAACCACACAAUCAAGACAUUUAAUUCACAAACAAAAGGAACACUCACCACUUGACCUCAAUAUUUCCAAUUCAAACCCUGAUUUGUCUUCUUAAGUCCUGUCGUCAUAUAAACUUUCAAGAGUCUAUCCAUUUAAAACCAAGAUAAAUGAGAAAAUAUGAGUUCGAAACUUCACUUAAUAAAUAUAGAAAAUUACAGAUUUAACCCUAAUAUAGCUUCCAAAACGGCCACGGUUUCUUGUUCAAAUCAAGGAAAAAUCACAUGUAUGAUAGGUCUAUGUUUCAAGUAUAAUAUCGAGCAAGAACAUGUCGAUUAUAGUCAAGAAUUUUGAAGAUAACAGGACAAGAUUUUUGAGGCACAAAACUGGAAAUUUUGAGUAAGAAAAAUAAGUUGGAGAAAACUCAUUUUCCUUCUUUUGUCCUCUUUGUUUUGACUCAAAUCCAACAUAAAAGUGAAGAUUUAGAUAUAACAAAAUAUCUUGAGCAAAACCUUGCCAAAAUCACCACAAAAAUUUUGAAAUCAAAGUUAGAAAAUGGCCCUUUUCUAGCUGGCCAACUCUAAUAGAAAUUACAGUAAGUUUUUUUCUAAAUUUUCUAACAAAACUUUCAACUUUCAACCUUAUUUUCUUGGCAAAACCACUAUCAAUCAAGAUAUCAUGUCCUGACAUAUAUGGACCAUUUUCUUAGCAAACAACUCAUCAAAAUUUCACAUAUUCAAAACUCUAAAUUAAACUAAUUAGAUUAUGCACCAAAGCUAAAAAUUGCAAUAUAAUCUUGACAAACCAUGAAAUCUUCCAUAAAAGUCAUGUCUUUUACCUUAUAGAGUAUCAUCCAUUAAGUAGAUGCAAAGACAAUUGAAGAAAGAUAAGUUUGCUAUCAAGUUUACCUCUUAAAUCCCACAAAACAAAGCUGAAAAUUCACAACAUAAUUUGAAAAUCAUGAAAUCCAUAUCUUUGUCAAGGAAGAAAUAGUGAAGAAAGAAAAGUUUAUCUUGGUCAAGGUCUUGGUCAACUUUGGUUGGCUAUUUGACAAAUGUCAAGAAAAGAAGAGAUAUCUAUCUCUUUGUCUUUAGUUCACCAAGAUAUCUAAGGUUUUUCCAAUUAACUCUUAACACCUCAUGUCACACAGUGUCUUUUGCACAAAACUCCUUCUAAUCUUACAAAUUUAUUGCACAUACCUCACUAGUUAGUCACAUUAGUAUAUUGCACUAUGAAACUUAACAUGCACCAAAUUAAACACGUACCAAAUAAAUAAUACAAUAGGAAAAAAAUCAUGACGCAACCAUUAAAGCAACUAAAAAUUUAAGACAAGUAAGUUCAAAUAAAAGUUAUAAAGACAAAUAGAAUUUCGGAGCCUAACAAGAUUUGACUUUAAUAACUUUGGACAUUCUAGGAUAUAGGGCCUGUUUAGAAGUCAGGUUUUUGGAUAAGUUGUUUACCUACAAGUUUUUUAACAACUUUUGUUAUAGGAACCCCAAAAAAUCUUCUCAAAGUUUUUUACCUACACACUUCAAAAUACCCAAAACACACAAAAAAAAUUUCCUUCUCUUUUUUUCUUCUUCCACCCCUAUCCCAACCCAUACCACCGCCGGUGUCGACCACCACCGCUGUUUUGUCCCCUAUCCUGCGGAGAUGCGCCUGGCUUGUUGAUGGCUGUGGAGAAGGUGCAUGUUGGGGAAAGGGCAAGGGGGUGGCGGGGGAAAGGGGUCGGGCUGGGGAAAGGGUAGGGGGUGGCAGGGGGAGGGGGUCGCCCUGGGGAAAGGGCAGGGAGGGUGGCGGGGCACAGGGGGUGGCGGGGAAGAGCGGGGGAAAGGGAUGGUGGGCAUAGGAGGGUGGCGGGGGAGGGAGGGCAGAGGGGAGGAGAAGGGGAAAGGGAGGAGAGGGGUGGCGCGGAGGUUGCGGGGCGUGAGUUGCUGUUGGGAGGUAACAGGGAGGAAAGAAAGAAAGAAGAAGAAGAAAAAGGAAGAAGAAGAAGAAAGGAAAGAAAAGAAAAAGGAAAGAAAGAAAAAGAAAGAGAAAGAGAAAAAGAAAAAGAAAGAAAAAAAAGAAAAGGAAAAAAAACUUUUUCACUUUACAAAAACUUCUACAAAAUUUUUUAUCUUAUAAAAACUUUUACAAAAAAUUUUUUCACCUUACAAAAAUUUUUACAAAAUUUUUUCAAAACUUCUUCAAUGUACUACAGUAAAAUUUUAGACAAACUCCCAAAAACUCAGAUUCCAAAUAGGCCCAUAAUUGAAAAGAGGUUUCCUUAAAAUUUUGUGAGGGAUGGGAUUUUCAAAAAUAAGAAAAGGUUUUUUCAAUUCGAAAGUUCAUACAUAUUCUAAACGAUUUUUACAGGAUAGAUAAGGGGAGAAAGUUUUAACCCCUCCCUCCAAAAUAAAUAAAUAAAGAAACCCCUUGAACAGCACACAUUUUUUUCCAAAAAAAACUUUUUCUACUAUCAAGUUCUUUAAAGGACACCCCAAGAAAAUGCCCAUUGAUUUCUGUAUAUUAAAUGGAAGAUUUGGUACAUAAGUCCUCACAAAAUGAGCAGUUUAAAUUUACCCUUUCAAGUUUCAAUGCAUUGGUAAUGCUAGCGGACCCUUUUUACUAAUUAACAAAAAUUUGCAGAUGACCUGUCAGUAGAUCUUAGCAACAUUGUUGUUUCAAGAACUCUUUCAGUCUCUACUCUCGGACAAAACUCUUCCAAAGUUCUAAAACACGCACAGCACGCACUGACUGGGAGGGAGGGAGGGAGCUGCAAGCAGAAGCAAUGGAUGCCUUGAGAAAGCAGGCCAGCAAGCUCCGAGAACAAGUUGCCAAACAGCAGCAGGUACCCCUAUUUUUAAUUUUUCUAUAUGCCAAUACCCUGAAUUAUUUGCCCAAAAAAAUGUGUGAAAUUUUGAGUGGCUCUUGAUCCAGUAGCAAAAUUGGAUUGCAUAAGUGCAUAUUUUCUGGGAUUGAUCAUAAGAUUAAACAUUUUGUCCAGAAGGGUUUCUUUCUCAUAUAUCAAGAAUAUAAGUGAUGGUUGAUGCUGAAUUCUGUAGCGGGUUUGGCAAUUUUAUUCGUUUACAUUUAAUGAAGAUAGAAAAAAAAAAUGGAACUUUCAGGCUGUGAUAAAGCAAUUCAGUGGCAGCGGAUAUGAGAGUUCAGAUGUGAUGGUAAUUGAUGAAGUGGAGAUGCAAAGGCAUCAGCAAUUAGAGAAACUGUACAGGUCUACUCGUGCUGGAAGGGUAAACAUUUUCUUGAUAUUGCACUAAUCACAGUUUGAUGCUAGUUCGUUAAUGAAAUUCUAUGUAGAUUAUUUGAAUUUCACGAGGUUAUUUGGCGUGAUUAUUGAUUGUGGGAUGUUGGAUCAGGUUACUUCUUGUAGGCCCGAGUUAGUUGCUCAGUUUUGAUUGAGCAUUCAUCUGGUCUUGUUGUCCCAAUGUAUUUGUUGUGGCCCUAUUUAUUCAUCUGGUCUUGUUGUUAUAUAGAUGUGAUCAACCAAAUGCUUAAUUGACACUUUAAAAAUCAUUGAAAUGUUGGGCUCAUUUGGUGAACUUUUUCAAAACACUUAUUCUGAGGCAAUUGAUGGGAUUAAUACUCUGGCAUUUGAUCUCUGCUUCUACCCCAAGCACUGUUACCAAUCUAAAACAAGCGUUUUCUAGUUUGUUCUGUCCCUGAUGUGCCUAUGAUGACUGACACUUACUUUUAAUAUGUAUAUGAAAUCAAAUUUUGAACUUUGGAGUCCAAAGUCAUCAGAAUUUCAUUUAUUUGGUUGGACGGAGUGACAUUGGAGGCCAUAAUUGAAAAGGGCAGUGUUUGCAUUUUCACUGGAUUUUUGCUGGCUGGACCUUGUGUCUUAGUGUAACUGUGUUGUGCACCUAAAUUACUUUUUUAAAGAAUUAGUUUUCAGUUAAAUUUGGUUUUGCCUUGUACAUAGAUGGAAUUUUAGUUGGAAUAUUUUGAUUGCAAUUGAGAUGUAUUAAAAAACGGUUUGUGUAGCAGAAUCUCAAUUGAUCUGUAUAUUACUGAUAACUUGGUAUCUCUUUAUAAUACAAUAAAAAAGAACUAAUGUUAUAUACCUCAGUUUCACAUUAUGACAAUUUAAUUCUCUGUUCAUUUUGGUUAACAGUAAGGUAAUUCUUUUCAUGACGACCAUGAACCCAUGUACAGAAACCAAAAGGGUGGUAAUUGGUAAACGGCUGCAUUCCAAGUAUAGUGCUUUAGCAGAUUUUGAGAUCACUUAUUUGAUCAAUGAGUUUGAGGGUUCUGAGCUUCUAUAACCAUUGUUACAUUCCUAUAAUAUCUAGCUUAGAUUACCUCUUUUUCAAAGUUUAAAAUCUUUCAUACUAUAUAUGCUUUAAUUGAAUAUCAACAUUUAUCCAUGCAGGAUUUUCAGAAAGAAAUCAUUAAAGCAGCCGAAACAUUUACAGCCAUAGGGUAUAAGCAUAUUGAAGCAGGUUUGAAUUUGAUCUUCUCUGAACUUCUAUUAUGGUAUAUCUAUCCAGGAAUGUAUCUAAAACUAUGGUCUUAAACGUUUAUAUUUGAACUGGUCCUUUUUCUUCUUGAUGGCCCAUUUGUGCUAUCAGAAUUAUCUCACUUGGUUUGCUUUGAAAUUUUGUUUAGGCAAUAAAUUAUCUGAAGAUUGUUGCAAAUAUGGAGUUGAGAAUGGUCAUGAUGAAAUCCUAGCUAAGGCUGCAACAAUCUAUGGUGAUGCUCGUAAACAUGUGGAAAAGGAGCAGGAAGACCUGAACAAGAUGUUGUUUUCAGAGGUUGGUUGUCUGCAUAACUGAAUUAGAAUUUCUAUGGUAGACAAAGUAGCUGUAAAGAUGUAGCGUUAGCAUACAUGUCUUCGAAACUAGCUGAAGUUGCUGAGUAUUCACAGUUAAUACUGUGUUAAGAAUUGUUUCACUUUAUUCACAAUCUUCUGUCAACCAUUCACCCUGCUCUAUCAUUUUAUAUAUUGUUGAGACUAUGCUUUUAUCCUUCCUUAUUGGGUUGAACUCUUGCUGAAAAGUAUUGGAUUUAAGUUCCUUUAUCCAAAAAUGUCAAAUUUAAAGUUCGCUGGCUAACACUGUUGGCACAGAAGAGGUUGAAGCUGACAACCGUGUUGACCAUUUCCAAAAAGAAAAUCUAAAAUGAUUACCUUAGGAGGUUUGUCAUUUUUGCUGCUCUUUUGGUCCCCCUUGUAUAACUGAAGUGAUUGAUGAUCAUCUAUCCUUUAUGUCCAACUUUUAUUACCGGUUUAUGCGCAAUUAUCUUAGAUGCUCCUCUGUGGAGAAGAUCAAUUGAUCUUUUACUUUUCUUUCCUUCUACAUAGGCAUUAGGAUUAACUUCUAUCAUAUAUCAGAAUGCUGGUUUUUGUCUGUCUUAAGGUUAUCAAUCAAUUGACUUGUACCAGUUGUUAAGAUAUUGAGUUUCUGUUGUUUAAUAACAGCGUAGGAUACAAGCUUUCAUUUGUAUACAGUUAAAAUGAUAGAUAUUGGUGGAGGACAUUGCAGAAAUGCUGAUUACAGAAUAUAAGUUGCAUAAGAUAAAAGUAAGAAGAAACUUAGGAGACUGAGAGCACUAUUUACUACUGAAUGUGAGCAUUAUUUCAACUCUGAUGAUAAGAAAAAAUUGAUAGAUAGAAAGACUAGUGACUAUGAUUUAGUCGAGGUAAAAAACCGUUUUAGUCAUGCCCGUUCAUGCCACAAAAUCAGUGCUCUACCAUUGACCUUGUAUUAAUUCCUUGUUCAAUAUAAGCGCAUAUUAGUUAAGCGAGGACUGCUAGAUAAAAGCUCAUGUGUCCAAGAAGAAACUUGCUGAGUAUUUGCCUGACUUGUCAUAAAAGAUGAUUGUCUGGUUGUGGAUCUUUAUGCUGGAGUCUGUACAAUGUGUCAAAGAAGAAACUUGCUGAGUAUUUGUCCAACUUGUCAUAAAAGAUGAUUGUCUGGUUUUGGAUCUUUAUACUGGAGUCUGUACAAUGUGCGACUAUUAAGUGCUUACAGCAGUGUGACAAACACAUAACUCUAAAGUUCCAUUAAAUGUGGUGAGCUGCAUUUGGGUGGGUUUGGAGUUGGUACUUGUUUAUCUAUCGGUUUAUGAUGCUAUGAUCCUGGUUACUUUAGUACUUCUUUUUAGCCCGAAUAUAUUGAUGAGUUUGGUUGUUUUUCUGACUUCUAGUACCAUUCUUUUCAGUCCUGUUGGAUUCAAGUACCUAUGCAUUCUGCUGUCAUCUAACGUUCUAUUUGUCUUUCCCUCUACCCAAAUUUAGCUUCUGUUACAUUUACAGCUGUGAUUUUCUUUUUCUCAGUUAUCUUGAUUGGUUAAGUUGUACCAGUGAUUGUUGCAAGAAAUUCCAUACUAUAAAUUACCAUGAAAAGAUAUCAAUUAUCAAUACAAGAGAUUUAUCUAGUACAAUUUAGAAUAAAGACUAUAUAGGUUGAUAUUUGCAUGCAAUUAGAAGUGCAGUGCUAUUAUAACUACAUGUCAUUAAUUUAUGACUACAAAAUAUUCUUUUGUAACCAGGUUUUAGAACCCUUGCGAGCAAUGAUAACAGGCUCACCUUUGGAAGAAGCUCGGCAUCUUGCUCAACGUUAUAGUCGAAUGAGACAAGAAGCUGAGACCCAGGUAUUACAGAUCCUUUUUUUUUUUGGCUUUUGAGCAGGUAUUAGAAAUCUUGGUAUAACCUGUUUUUGAUUAUUCAUAAUAUCUCAGCUUUUUUGCUUUAGAAUAUGAGUAUUUUAACCAGAAAGCAUGAAUGAAUUUCAAAAACCGAACAGGCGGUGGAGGUUUCUAGAAGACAAGCACGAGUAAGGGAAGCUCCAAUUCCAGAAAAUGUAGCAAAGCUGCAUGCAGCUGAAGCUAGAAUGCAGGAGCUCAGAGCAAACAUGGCAGUACUAGGCAAAGAAGCAGCUACAGCAUUGAGUUCUGUAGAAGCUCAGCAGCAGAGGCUAACUUUUCAGAGGCUUGUAGCAAUGGUAUGAAAGAUCUGUUACCAUGCUGUUGGGAUAUUGAAGUUGCUUUGGUAGUUAAUUAUGCAUUUUGUUUUAAGGUCGAAGGAGAAAAAAUAUAUUACGAGAGGAUAGCUGCUAUUCUUGGUCAGAUUGAAGCUGAGGUCGGUAAUGCACUUCUUUUUUGAUGAAAGGAUGUUUAAUGAGCAAAAAAAUUUUGGUUGAUAUAAUUUUUAUGGCAACAGUUGGUAUCAGAUAAGCAACGGAAAGAAGCUGCUCCUCCUGUAAUUCCAACUGAUCAUGGAUCUGAAAAAACCAAAUACUUUCUGGCUGAGGUAACUAGUUAUUUGUACGCUUAUAACAUUUGUCUUUCAAUUAUUAGUAAAGCAGGAUUUGCUCACUUGUACUUGUCUCCUGCAGGCUAGGAAUGCUUUUGAUGCUGAGACUGAGAAGGAGCUGAGCUUGGCAGUGGGGGAUUUCGUUGUUGUUCGACAGGUUGCUUCACUCUCAAGUUAAUUUCUUGUUCCUGUUUCUUUUAAUUGAGGUUUAGCUUUACAGAUCAGAUAGAAUUAGGUAAACUAUACCUAUAAGUGCCAGAGCAAAGACAUUCCCCAACCCUAGAGAACCCUUGGAGCUGCUGAGGAGUGGUUGCCUUUCAUUCUCUAUGACAACUUAUACUCCCUGUUAUCAAGAAACAGAAUAUCAUUCAGUAAAUAGAAUUCCUCAUUUUGUCCAUAACAGAAAACAAAAAGAUAUCUUUCACAAAGCUCUCCUGGGCUGGGGUGAACCUGGGAGGGGCCUGGCUGCCCAAGAUCCAAAAACUUGUCCUUUUCCUUUAAGAUUUUGAUAAUAAGAAAGCCUUUUGGAAUUCGAAAAUGUGUGCUGACGAAUUCUUAAUAAAUUAUACAUUAUGUUAAAAAUCUUUUCAAGUGUAAGUUCUAUACUAUAGCCGUGGAAAUUUAAUCUUGCUGCGCCUUCAAUAAUUAGUUUUAGAGCCUUAAUUUUCACUGUUGAAGCUACAAAACAUAAAUCUGGAGGUGAUAUGGACAAGAAAUCCAUACUAAAUAUCUUAAAAUACCUUGCUAGAACUUAUUAAGUAGAAAGUAUUUUCCCCAACCACCCUUCUUUCAUUCUGACCACCAGCUUCUGCUCCCUCUGGUCAAUAGAGCAAGUCCUUGCUCCAUGCCUCUCUUUUCCCUGAAAAGCCCUAGUGCAAUCUGCGAAAUUGUUCCAUCUCCUACAGCCACUGGCCCGCCGCUCCCCUCGCUGCCUGGCCCCAAAUAGGACCAUUAACACCCAGACUCCCACUCAGAAUACAGUCCACCCCAUGACGAUCCCCCACAUCUGCAUUGCAAAUAAAAUUCAACAACACUAACUCCUCAUUUCAUUGCCUCCUCUUCUGAUGUCUAACUCCUAGGACAUAAGUUUCAAUCACCUCUUAAGCCACCAGUGCCCUUAUCCUACCUCCGUGCAGAAUAAAGAUUGCCAAGUUUUAGAUCUUUGUGUUAACAUAUUAGUUUUGCAUUAGGACACAAGUGUUGCGUACUUAAUGGUCAAUUUCCAGUUAUAUAUCAGUAUGAUUUGGCUUCUUGUACAAUGUUUUUUUUCUGUAUGUUUGUGUAUCUAGCCUUGCAUUUGUUGUUGAUGUGGAGACGGUUGGUUGAGGAGAAGGUUGCGAGCCUGUGACAAAUGGCUGCAAAGGAAGGAGGGUGGGGGGCUGGGCAGGGAGGAGAUGGGCUGGUCAAGGGGGUUUGGAUAUUGCAUGGUGGCCGGGGGGGGGGGGGGGGUAGGAGGUCAGGCAAAGAUGGGAGUGGAGAAUGGAGGGCAGUUGAAGGAGGAGACUAGGGUUUGGGGAGUGGGGGAAAGGGCGACAUGGUAGUUGGAUUGUGGCAUUUCUUGUUCUUCUCUUUUUGCUUUUGGAAGUUUGAGUAUACAUGAUGGUUACUGGCGUUUUGCAUAUACAAGGGAGAUCAAUCUUUGUAAUUAUGAAAACCACAGGGGAAGCCACUUAAUUUUGAUAAACCUCAAAGUACAAUUUUGUAAAUGUAAAAUAACAAAAAAUAAAGAAAGAUGAAAGAAUAUGAUAAAAGAGCAAUAAUGAGUUCAAUCUUGAGUUAAAACUGACUUAAAGAAGUUAUGUUGGUUAAUUUAUCCUUAUUGUACUAUGGUUUUAGGGAGAUUAGUUCAAUUUUGUGCAAGUUUUCUCAAUCUUUGUUGGGGUAAGCCAUAAGCAUACAGAUGAUUCUGAAUUAGAUAAAGAGCAAUUCUGAAUUGGUCUGGAUUUGUCUGUUGUUCUGAUUUUGUGUUCUUUGUUGAGAGCAUUCAUUUACUGAAAUUACUCUCUUUAGAGAUCUGAAUCCACAAGAUUAUCAGCCAAAACCAAAAUCAAAUCAAACUCUAUGCAGAACUGUAAUUCCAGAUGAUCAAGCCAGUGCACUCUUUAGUCACUAUAAAAACAGUCAGUGGAAAAGUUGAUUAGUUUGAGAUUCUUGUAUAGAAUACAAAGGCACAACAGGAUGACCUGAUCUAAACUGAGAAGAGAAUGUUUGGGAUUGAACUUAUGUAAACUGUAAAACUCAGAGCAAGCAACACUGAAAAUCAAAAUUUGAGAAGUGAAUCUUAUCCCAUAAGCCCACCAUAAGCCAGUUUGAGUCCAUGGAGGUUGUGCUUGUAAUUAACAGGAAAGUACAAUGCUGUCUGUUUCUAAGGAGCACAGAAGCACAGCACAAAUAGCUUAUGUUCACCGAGCAAUCAAUUUGAGGGAAAGAGGGAAGGGGGCAUGUAACAAGUUGCCCUAGUGGUUAACUAUGCACGUUUUAUGUAACCAAAAUGGAAUUAAGCUUUAUUUGCACCAAAAAUUAUUCCCAAGAGAUCAAGCAAGCUUUAGUUGAUACUACUCAGUAGAUACUCUUUUCCUAAGGAAUGUAAAAAUAAGAUGCAAAAUAAUUAAUGGGUUGAGGAAUGACAGAUGUGGCAUGUAACACAAUGCGCUUCCUUUUUGACAGAUAUGGGGUAUUAAGGUUUAAGUUGCACAUACGCUCACUUUAACCUAGUGAUCAUGCUUGUGUGUAUGUAAUGCUCCAUGCAACGAUCACAUUUUAAAAUGCUUCAUGAACAAAAACUUUAUGGUUUGUUUGGAUUGAGCAUUAUUUCCCCAAUUUUAUUUACUUACAUCAUCAUUACAAUUUCCAAUACACUUUUUUAUCUUUCCAAUUACCUUUUUAUCUCACAUACAUCACGUCAAAAAAAGUGUUACAGUAAAAAUAUCCCAAAUAACUUACAAUCCAAACAAACCCUUUUGUUUUUUUGGUUGGCUGUAACUAAAUUGAUUUUGUAUUGAGCUAAUUGAUAAUGCGCUAUUAUGAAAUUGAGCAGUAAUAUCUACAACAGAAAUCGUACUAGUUUACUUGUAUAGUGUUCUAAAGUUUCAAGACUUGUCCAGGUAAGCCCAUCGGGAUGGUCAGAGGGGGAAUGCAGAGGUAAAGCUGGUUGGUUUCCAUCUUCAUAUGUGGAAAGGCGUCACCGCAUUCCAACAGACACUGGGGCCGCAGAAGUUUUCUAGUUAUACAUUUGGCUGGUGAAUUGAAUUCCCUUCCUGGUUUGAAAUGCAAUUGGUCUGUCUAUGUAAUACAGCUCCAAUUUGAUAGUGUUAGAUAAUGGUUGUUUAUUCCAUGUUCCUUAUUCUAUUUUGAUGAGAUUAGAAGGUAAGCAGAAUAUUGGCGUAUACUUGAAAUGCAUGUAUCUUUAGUUUGCAUCGUUUUGGGUGACAUGUAGAAUCUAUAUAUUUUUUUGUUGUUACACGGUGUCACAUAAUCUGGAAAACUAUUUCAUGAGAAAAUGGUCUCUGUGAAUUUCCUAUUCUUUCUUAUUUUUUUCUCUAUCUGAAACAGAAGAGAGAGCACAAAUUCGAUGCAUUGCCUAACCGGUUGUUCUUCUCUAAGUGUUGCUACGUCUUGUGGGUUGACCGCACAUGCAUCUGUGUAACCUUUAGAUGUAUACAUUAAUGUGCAUGAGUAUUGUUGUGCCUAUUGUUGGGAAGAGUUCUGAUGCUUAUGGCAGGAUUAAGGGGGUUUUAAGCUCUUCUAGACAUUAUGUGGUGAUAGCAGCUGAUUUAAUGUUAUGCUGCUGAAAUUGGUUUAGAAAGAAUGUUAAAUCUGAGAACAUGCAUGUGUUGUAAAGGAUGCAACCAAAUCAAGUUUGUGUCAAAAGAAAUGUUGUAAAACAAGAUCAAAAGGCUUACAUUUGUAUGCUCCAUCCAAAAUAAGAAGGGUGUUCUCCGAAAAUAUAAUAGUGGCCUUGCAGCUAUUGUGGCUACCAACCAGUCAUUAUUCCAAAAGAAGAGCACUGGUGCAAGUGAAUCUGGAUAAUUGAAUUGAGCAGAGCCAAAUAUUUUGAUUUGUGUUAACGAAGAACUUUCUCAUCUUUGAAUGAAUGGUAAAUAGACUCUUCAACAUUUUUCAAUGGUUCAGAAGUUUGAACGUCUGUUGAAGUUUUGCAAUUUGACAGCUUGAGAUUUUGAUCAUUUGUUCAAGUUUGAAUAAGCUCUUAUUAAACAAAAUGGUAAUCAAACUCAGCCUACUUCAGCUAAAAGAAUUUAUACUUACCGAGCACUAAUAAAUAAGUUAACUAGCAGCAGACUUGUUCAAUUUUUUUGCCAAUUAGCUUUGAACUCUUAACGAAAUUCUUUUAUAGUCAAUUUAUUAGUACCUUGGUCAUAUUUUUCAACCCUAUGUUGGCAAUUUCAUUUCUUAACAAAAGCUGCAGGAUGAAAACAGAAGCUGCAGGAUUUAAACGUCAACAACUUCAAUAUGAUUCUUGAAUGAGCUUAGUUCACAACUUCUAUCCUUAAGCCAAAAAGUACUGAAAAAGUAUAACAAAUCAGACAAGUUCUGCCCAGAAAAGGGAUGGAAUGAAUUGGCUGAGAGAUUGCACAAUCUUCUUGCCACCUUUAGCCCAGAAUUCCUUUCAUAUUCAACACAUAGCUUGAUCUAAAAGUAGAAAAUGAGAUUUGCAGUCACUCAUUCUUCUAUGAAGUUUAAGAACUAAUGCCAACUUUCAUUAUUACGGAAGUAAUAGCUAACUUUAGAAUCCUGAAUAUCCAAAAUAAGAGCUAAGACUGGGAAUCAACAAAAGCACUAGGGAUGCUAUGUACUAAUACAUGUCCACAAGAUGCAGCAAACACCAGCAACUGUUUGAUUUUUCUCCCCUUUUUUUUCUGGUUUCAUUUUGAAGCCUAUGAACAAUUUCAUGUUAAAAUCUAUUUAAUGACUAGUAUUAUUUUCUUUCGGUUUUCAAAUUCGGGGGAUUCUUUUCAUAUAUUUUAAUCGUUUUCUUCGUGCACGUAGCACACGUUUAGACCUAUCAUCAUUGUCUUAUUACUCACCAUUCUCUUAAAAUCUAUCAAAUAGUAUUGAAAGUAGAACAAAAUUUAUCAACUACGUUAAGGGCACAUAUAUAUAUAUAUAUAUUAUAUUUCACACAAAUAUUGAUCUCAAAUGAACUUCUAAAACAGUCACAAAAAGGGCUUAAAAAAAAAAAGGCCUCCACCCAAUAAAGGAGAAAGGACUUUAGGUCCUCAUGAAACUAGUUUAGUAAAAAGGAGGCAGCCUUUAAAGCAAAUAACGAUUACAAUUAUCACUUUAAAUGGUGUUGGAUUCUGUCGGUCUUAUUUUGUUAUUCUGUUUAAGCACAACCCAAAAAUAGGGAAAACAGGUUUUCCUUGUCUACGCUGUUUAGGGUUAAUAUAACAACUUUCAUAUUUCUAAUUUCUUUGGUUUAUGUUUGUUGAAUUUUAAGAGCAAGAAUAAAAUCCGGUGUUCCAAAUCUGCUAAUGAAAUUGAUCUUGAGAAAGGAUAUGUCUAUUUGGUGACUUAAUAAAAAAUGGUCCAGGGCUUAUAAUAGAAAGAUGGUCUAGGUGUUAUUUUGGUGCAAAAGGGUGACUUAAUGAAAGCGCCGCCAAAAGAAAUUCUAUUAGGGUUUACUCAAAAAAAAAAAAAAGAAAUUGUCGAGCAAAAGAACGAAGGAGAAGAGUCGUCUGGACUUAAACCGGCUGGUCUCCUAUUCGCACGAGGAAAGAAAAAGAUCCCUUCCUUGCUUUUUUAUCCUACUUGGGCAUUACUAAUACAAAAUAAAAACGAGAAGAUUUGUUUGAAUUAGGAAUUGACAACAUCUUGCAAGAGUUCCAACUAAUCAGCGACAAUUUCAUGGGAUGCGGGCGGGCCACUUCAAAUCCCAAAGUAUCCAGAAGUUACCACAAAAGAAGACGUGCCCACGUCAUAUUGACAGAAAAUUUCACUUGUAAGCUCAUUUGAAUGGUAACUUUUUAAACAUUAAUAUCAAAAACAAAAUAUGAGUAAGGUAAAGUCUAUCAAUUAAUAUAAUAUUUUGCCAAAAUUAAAAGAUAAUAUUCACAAAUAUGAUGCAUAAUUAGCCUUCUAUCACAAUCACAUAUUAAAUGCCAAAAUUACCCCAAGGCAAAAUAGAUGAUCAUUUAGUAUACUUUUUGGAUAAUAUUUUUUUUUUAUACACUAUCAGCGUUGCAAGAAUUUCAUUAUACUAGUGGGAUUAUAUACAUACUAAUGAUUUUUAUUUAAAUUUAAAAUUCAGUUUUUGUACAUGUGACAUCUACAUCCAUUAGUGUAAAAAAAAAAUCUCUAUGCUACUAGUGCAUAAAAUAUUAAUCUCUUUUUUAAUGUACAUCUCUAUGAAGCUUUAAAAUUUCCAAAAAUGACAAAUUCUAACAUGGUUUAAAGCCAUUGCCUUUCUUGUCUGUAAUUCAGAUCCAACAAUUUUUGUUCUUUUUUGUCCAAGCGAGACUGUAAACCUUAAAAGUGAAGAAGGGAAAUGGAGGGGUUUUUAGUAACAGUCCUACCAACCGAAUUAGAUCAUUAAAAGGCAUUUAAAUGGUCAAGUUUUGCCCAAAUUGCUAACGUUCUUUUUUCCUUUUAAAUCACUAUAUGCAAAUGACUAGAAGUGAUUAAAAGCAAAAUUCAAAUUGCAUAGCAACAUUUAUUUACUAAUAUAGAGAGACAAACAAAAUGGGAGGAGUUUGAAGCACACGCAAGGUUGAGUGUUAGAUGGUGAUGAAAUUUUUAAAUAAAAUAGAAUUAGUUGAAUAUAACAUUAUGUUUUCUUAUGAACGGCACUUUUAGAUUAAUUUUGUCACUUGAAAAGAAUAAUUGUAUUAAAUUUAUGUUAUUCUCGAUUCCUCUUUUGUUUUUUUAUUAUUCUUUGUAGCAUAUUGUCUCUUAACUUUUGAAUUCAUAAAUUUUAGGGAUAAUUUUAGAAACCUCCUCUAAGGUUUUUGACAAACCUGAAGUUUGUAAAAUUAUACAAACCUCCCUUGAGAUUAAGUUUUUGAUAACAAAAUUAGUGCAAUUAGAAAAAGUAACAUUAAAAAGUAUUUUAAGGAGAGAGAUGAAACUUUUAUUCCAUAAAUACCUCUUAUGCAUGCAUAUAAUUUGUAUCAAUAAAAGAAUAAAAAUAAUUAAUAUACACAUUUCACCACUCAAAAAGUUUACAUUUAAUAAAUUAGAUAAUACAAAUAAGCAACAAAACUCCACUAAUGAUCACAAGAUUCAGUAAAAUGGACUAGUCAUCCCUUUUAACAUGAUGUUUGUUAUAAUUCUUGUGAUUUUGAACCAAAAAAUAUUUGAACAUUUGAAAGAAAGGAGGGAAAAAAGGCAAAAUUUGAAAUUUUUUCGUUUAAAAUCACAAGAAUCAUAGCAAACGUCAUGUCAAAAGAGAUGACUAGUCUGUUUUGUUGAAUCUUGUGAUCAUUUUUAUGUUGUUUAAUUUUAUUGAAUGUGAACAUUUUGAGGGGUGAAAUGUGUGUAUUAAUUGUUUCUAACUUUUAAUUAUUUUCAUUUUUUUACUAAUACAACUUAUAUACAUGCAUAAGGGAUAUUUAUGAAAUAAAAGUUUCAUCUCUCUCUUUAAAAUACUUUUUUAAUAUUACUUUUUCUCAUUGGGCUAAUUUUGUAAUCAAAACCGGGAGAUUUGUGUAAUUUUGCAAACUUUAGGAAAGGCUAAUAAAAUUAUCAAAAAUCUCAGGGGAGGUUUCUGAAAUUAUCCCUAAAUUUUAAUUGGAUAUCAUGGACAUGCAGAUGAAUACUUAUUGAGUACCCUAAAUUAUCCCUGUAUUUUAAUUGCAUAUCAUGGACAUGCAUUGGAGUUUGGAUUGGGUCUAAUGCAUCUAACUGAAAUCCUACUUAUUGAUGCUAAUCAACAUUUUCAUUAUUGUUUGAAUACAAAUUCCGUGGAAACAAGUUAGGCAUUCUAGUGGAAGCACAAAACGUACACAAAACGGUUUAGGCCCACAAAUCAAGAAUUCUCUAGCAGACCCCUUCUUUGGAGCCUAAAUUUUGGUGUCCUUUAUGUUUCAUAAGGAAAGAAAAAUAUAACAAUCCUUUUUAAAAGCCUGAACUUCAGAACAUUUUAUCUUUGUUGAAGAGAUAUUAAUUAGAAUUUUGACUUAAAAACCAUAUACGUUUGCCUAUGAAGCUCUCCUAAAUGGACUUACACAUUAAUUUCUUGGAAACAAAGUUAGGCGCACGUUUGCCGAACAUAAAUUCUAGGUUCAUAGCCUACUACAAUCAAAACUUAGCAGUUUAGACUUUUCUCAAAUUCAAUAUGAAGUGGAAGAAAAGUCAACAAUUGAUCUGCAUUGUUUGCACUAAAUCUCCGAAUUCUCACUUUGAAUCUUAAACUUCAAAAUAUGACACUUUAAUCUCUAAAUUAUAAAAUUUGUCAUACUUUAGUUUCUAAAGUAUAGAACUUGUCCAUUUUAAUCCCUAAUGUAUUAAAUAUGCUCAAAUUUAGUCCCUAAAGUAUACCCAGAUAGGCAUAAAAUCUAUCUCACUUCCUUAAUGAUAUUUACUUAACUGAGAAAAAUUUUAUAGUUUAAGAACUAAAGUAUCCAUAUUAAAGUUUUAAGGAUCAAAGUGAAAAUUUGGGUAUAGUUGGAGGGUAUAAAAUGGAAUUAACCAUAAAUAAAUCCUUUCCUCCCGUCAUAGCGCAUCCUAAGUAUGUGCUCCGUGCUCGCCCGCCCGUUUUCUUUUCUAGUUGGACGCAUUGAUCGAAAGCUGUAGAAAGCUAUAGUCCAAGAGGCAAUGGGCAAAGAUCUUUUAUAGCUAGUUUGGGAGAUGGGAUUUGAUAGGAAAAGAAAAGAAAGUGGGAGGAAGAAAUAUUUUUCUUUCAUUUGUGAGUUUACUCAUGACAGAAAACAAAAGAUUUGGCCUAAUUUGGAGGGAUUUAGUGUGCUGUUACAGUUGGAAAACUUUUCCGCCUACUUAUGGCCUGAUUUAGAUUGAGUGUCAAAGAAAGUCUAAAAUUUUUUCACAAUACCAAUUCUAUCCUUAGAUGAGCAUCAAACUAAAUUUUACUGACAUAUAUAUUCAAAAUCAUUCUAUUUCUUUCCUAAACUCCCAAAUAACAUCAAAAUCGCUACAAUUCUUUUCUCUUAUUUUCUUUUCUUUCAUAACUUAAGUUUUCUCAUCUUUUCUUUUAUAUCCUAUGCUCCCAUACUAGCCAUUAAAGAGCUUCCCACCGGAGGAAUUUUUUCAAUGGAGACACUGGCUGAGAAUCCAUUGGGUACCCCUAGAGGUUGAGGCAAUGUAGCAGAGUUUGAUAAAAAAGGAUCCACACUUUUCUACGCAGCAAUGAGCAGUUCGUUCCAAGACCCCAAGCCUCGUAUAGUGAGCCUCAAUUUUUUUUUUUUUGUAUCUUUAUGUUUUAGGAAAUUAGAAAUACGAUAUUAAUCCUCCUUAACCCCCUUUUUUUUGGAGGAUUUCCUUGUCCUAUAAAGGAUAAUUUAGAUUAGAUGCUUAUACAUGAAUUGCACUUGUAUAGAAAAAAAAAUUAAGGCUAAGCCCUUCGUGCGCUUAGAUUGAUAAUAUUACGGCAAAAAACCAAAUGAAAUCGCAUAAUUAAUACUAUGUUAAGCCUAUUUCGCAGGAUUGAAAGGGAAAAGUGGAAGAAAUGCCAAAGAUUCGCCACUUGCCAAUCUUAGAACUUGUCCAUUUUAAUCCCUAAUGUAUAAAAUAUGUUCAAAUUUAGUCCCUAAAGUAUACCCAGAUAGGUAUAAAAUCUAUCUCACUUCCUUAAUGAUAUUUACUUAAGUGAGACAAAUUUUAUAGUUUAAGAACUAAAGUAUCCAUAUUAAAGUUUUAAGGAUCAAAGCAAAAAUUUGGGUAUAGUUGGAGGGUGUCAAAUGGAAUUAACCAUAGAUAAAUCCUUUCCUCCCGUCACACCGCAUCCUAAGUGCGUGCUCCGUGCUCGCCCGUUUUCUUCUCUAGUUGGACGCAUUGAUGAAUUGAUAGGUUGCAAUUUUAUCAUUUAUUUUAUUAUUAUUUUCCCCUAUUACCUGAUCCGAUGUGGAUUAAUUGUUGAAUUUUACUCAUUUUUAAUAUUUUGUAUUUAUUUCAGGGAGUAGAACAAAAAUAGGAUAACAAGUGCCAAUUUUACAGAAAAAGAGUCCAAGUCACAGAGCUUAUCCUAGGGACAUUGUUGGCAAAGGAAAACUUCUGCCCAUUUUGGUAAUUGCUGGGGAAGAGAGCGCAGAGAGCCUUCUUUUUCCGGGGAGCCACCGCACAUCUAAGGGAUUAGAGAGGAAAAUUAGAAUUAGGAACAGGAGAUGAGCACUACCUUUAAUCUUUGAGCUUUGACUUUUCUUUUGUCACUGUAGUAGCUUUUCCUUCUUCAUAUAAAGACCUCUAGCUUAGCUUUUUUUUUUUGGACUUUUCCUUCUAGCUUUUGGUAGUGGAGUUCUCUUACGCAUGUCAGGAGCCUUAUGAAGAAUUGAAUCAUUCUCUGUAGUUGCUUGUUUUUCCUUAUUCAAUCGAACAAAUUGAAUUCUCACGAACAAGGCCAAUGGCUGCUACUGUUGCUUCAAUUUUUUGUGAAUUUUGUUCAUCAAGUAUGAACUAAUUUUCUCACUCUAGUUAAGGGACAACGGAGGCUUUGGUUCGCCUAAAAAUUGUGAGAUCGAUUUAAUUUUAUCUUUUCCUAUUAUUUAUUGGUAUUCGCAUAUUUCUUAAUUGCAGUACUUUUGAUUAUUUAAUUAAUUGACUAUCUUGGAUCCGGAUAAUUAGUUAACUUGAUAAUCUAUUGUCAAUUAGGGCAUUAAACUCGUAAUUGUUUAAUUGUCUCAAAACAUAUUAGGUUUGUGUCAGGGGAAUACGUGGCCUAAUCUAAAAUAACCCUGGUAGUGCGUUAUUUGGUUAGAACAGGGCUCCUCUAAUACGUAAGGCAAUUGAAAAAUUAAAUCUUAUAGGGGUAUCUAAGAUUAUUUCUCAAUUAGGGUAAUGAUUAACGGGCGUACCUUAAUCACCGGCACAGUAAGGAGGGGUUGACUGUCAUCGCUUGUUUGACAGUUAUAACAUAUUUAUUAGUAAAUAAUUGGAAUUGUCUUUAUUUCAAUGAUCAAUUAGGUGAACCAUUGCUGAAAUUAUUUCUUAACUAGAUCAUGAGUUAUCAUUCAUUUGACUUUAGUAAAUUGUUAUUUAAUUUUUAGUAGUUUCUUGAAUUUUAUUUGUAUUUAUUUGAUUGUUGCCUUCUACAUAAAAAUAUCCCUUGAUUACUGUAAAUUUGAAAAGAAACAGUUACACCCAAUCGCUGUGGAUUCGACCAUACUUACCACUAUUUACAAAAACUAACUUUAGUUGAGUAGGUUUUUAUUAUUGCACAUGCCCAAUACCCUGUCAAUUUUUGGCGCAAUUGCCGGGGACUGAUGCCAGAUUAAUUUGUUUCUUUUUGAAUUUAUCUUGUUUUCAUUUUCUAUUUAUUUUUCUCUUAUUUUUUUAUAUAGUUUAUGGCUGCUAACAUUCCGUAUUUUGAUGAUAGAUUGGACUUUAUUCUUGAAUGGGAUUAUAAGAUUCGUGUUUUUCCUAAUGAUCAAUUGGCUGUUGCAAAUUAUGGAACUUAUUUUGUUUCAAACUAUUCAACCAACAUAUGCCCUGCAUUUCAAGAUAACCUAAGUACUCCAAUUGAUACUUUUGGAGAUUUUCCAUCUCGAUUUCAAACGUGAUAUGACCCUUACUCAAACAGGUAUGAUCAAGGAUGAUGGAAUAAUUUCAAUUUUAAUUGUACAACCGGGCCAAUGUAGUUUCAAUAGCAAGAGUCUCAACAACCACCAUCCAUGUCAGGUAUGUCUCUUGAAGAAAUGAUUGAAUUACUAGCUACUAAUACAUAUCGAUUUCAUCAGGAGACACAAACGAGUAUUCAUAACAUAGCGGAUCAAGUGCAACUAUUGACAUCCGGGAUGGCGAAUCAAGUGCAUCUAUUGACAUCCAAGAUAACGCAAUUAGCUUCUCACAUGUGUGAAGAAUUACCCUCACAGACCAACAUCAACCUUGAAGAAGAUGAGAGUGCAAUUAUCCGGGCAAAUGACAUGGAACUGCAAGAGUUUCAAGAAAAUGGAUCUAAAGAUGCAGUUGAAAAGAAAGUUGAAGUGCAAAAAAUGAGACCCUAGUAUCAACUCGUUCAAGUGAAUGAAUCCAAUGAACGAUUUCCAAAUGCGGUGACAUCUCCUCCAUUCCUUAAUCAAUAUUCUCCUGACUCUUAUUUUUCAAUUCCUGUUAGUGAAAUUGACUUUAUUAUACCAGUAAAUUUUGAAUUUCAUGACUGGAAUAAAUUAAGAGUAGCGAUGGCAAGAUAUCUUGGACCAAUAAAUGCACGUGAGGGAGGAGUGAAUGGAGAAUUCAAAUUAUCGUUGACUUGUUUGGCGCCAUUUGUUAGUCCAUGGAAGACUGUAGCUCGUGUGCUCAAGGAUUACUCUAUUUACGAGGGUUAUAAGGACUAUAUAGAGGAUGAAACAUUAAAAUGACCUAUAAGAUUUUAUCCUCCCUGAACAAACAUGACAAUGUCUAGCCAAAGACGUAAAAAAAAGGCGCUCAUUGGAAGACAAUCCAAUUUCUUUUAGUCAUUUGUUCGAUUUUGUUUCAUAGUUUAAAUAUGUUUUCCUUGAAUUUGACUGAUUGUUUGCUUCAAUUUUCGUUUUUGAUGAUUCGUAGGUAACUAUCUAACAUGACACGCCCGCGUCAACUGGGCGCGUGGCACAUUGCGACUUCCUGGUGCUUAGUAAAAAGGGUUUCGAUCCCCUUGACGUUCCCGCGUCAAGUCAUCCGAGGAGCUCAUCGUCAGAAGGGUUCUGGUCCUCAUGACGUGCCCGUGUCAAGUCACCUGGAAAGCUCUUCACUUCGUGCCUUCAUGACAUGCCCACGUUAUGUUCACGGGAAAGGUGGGCAUUCAAAACCUCAGAAAAUUUUGAUUUCCUUUUAAUCUCAAAUUUUGAAGUAAUACAUUUUGCCUAAAAAAAAAUUUAAAAAUUUAAAAAUUUAAAAAUUUAAAAUUUAAAAAAAAUUUUUUCCCUGUUUAGUCGUAACUUCAAAUUUUGAAAAUCAACAUUCUUGAAAAAAAAAAUGAAAAAAAGAAAAAACCAAAAACUAUUUUAUUUUUCUUCCUUUUCUUUUCUUUUUUUUUCUUUCUUUUUCUUUUCUUUCUUUCUUUCUUUCUUCCUCUUUUCUUUCUUUCUUCUCCCUUGUUUCUUCCUCCUGUUCGACUGAAACUCCGCACGCCGCCGCCUUUUCAAUCCGUAGCCGCGCCGUCGUCCGCCUUCCCCUUUCAUCACCACCGUGCAACUACUCUCCACCCUCUCCUGGUGUUCGUAGCUCCAAUCUCUCUCCCAUACCUCCACUCUCUCCCUUUUUAUGCAGCUCUCUUUUUCUCUUGCCCGUCGCCUCUCCUUCUCACGUCGUGCUGCCACUAUCAGCGCCCGAAGCCUAGGCGACGCGCGUCUCCCCUCGUCGCUCUCUCUCCUUGCCGCCCCCUCCUUCAUUGAGACCGGGCUAGCCGUCUCCAGCUGUCGCGCCAUUGCCUCUACUGAAGACCACGAGCCGCACCGCCAUCGCACCAGCACUACUCACCCCACCGCCUCCAAGCUCCGCAGCCGUGCUGCUGCCAACAAGCGCCGCCACCCAUGGUUUCUGUACCCCCAGCCACGCAGCUCAUACUCCAUCUCUCGCACGCCUCCACCAGCAGCCCCGCUCGUCUCACCACCUGUCCUUCUUUCAUAGGUGGAGUUAUUGAAAUUUCUCCCUCGUUAAUCUUUUUCUGGGUCUCAAAUUGCUGGAUUUUGUUGCCGUUUUCUUGGGUUCCUUGGUGCAUAAUAGCAGAAGGUGACUAGCUUGUUUUUCACUUAUGCUUUGUUUAGGGCUUCUAUAAGCAUUUUUGGGUAGGUCAUUGCCAUUGCCUGUGGUAGUUCAUUUGUUUGGGAGUAUUUGGGGGGUGAUUUGGGAAUUGAUUACCAAUUGAUUCUCAUUUUGAUUUCUUCUAAUUUUCGGUACUCAUUGGUGUGUUUGGAUUUAUCAAGUGAUUUGGGUUGACUAUUUGAAUUGUUUCCUACUUGUGCGUUCACCAGUGGCACUGGUUGCGGUAGUUGCCCUGUUUUGUUCUUGUCCGAAUUUUGAUCUGCUAUUGCUGGAAUUGUCGAUUUUGCGUUACGAUAUUCACUAUCCAAUUGGAGACUUUGUUGAGAUUUUGGGUGGACAGAGUUUUGCAUUUGCUGGUUGAAUUGAGUUACGAUGUUUCAGAACUUGGGUGCGUACUUCCACCACAUCGGUUUCCCUCCACCAUUCCCGCCUACCCCUUAGCCACUUGAAAGGGAAGUUUUAUUGUCCUCUUUACUUUAGUUACUCCAUUGAUGACAAUGUAGGAUUUAGGUGUGGGAGGGAGCAGUUAUGGUGCUAAUUUUUCUAGUUUUUAGUUUUCAAAUGUUCUUCUUUUAUUUUUAGUUUGUUAUUUGUCUAGUUUUCGUUUACUUUCUUUUUUUUUUAAUGAAUACCAAAGUUUGAUGUUGGAUUGUUGACUCUAUAUCUGCUAUUGCCAAGUUUUAGCAAUGAAAGUGUAUCAAGUGGAUGUGGUUGAGUCUGAAAAUAUCUCUUUGGUGAAUAUCGAGGAUUGUGUGACUUUUAUGAUUUUUGAUUAACUUUUCUAGGCAUAGGGAAUGAUUGUUGGCAGUUUCAUGUAAAUUAGUCCAGUUAUUAACUCUAGUUCUCUAUGUUUGAAGAAAUGAGGUUAGCUGCUGCUAAUUUUUUUUUUUUGCUAUAUUAUUUUGAGUUAUUGUGUUAUUUGGCUGUGAAUAAGUUUAACUGUACUCCGCUAGUCUUUACUACUGAGUAACCGGGGAUCCUCAUCUAAAGUGUCGAUUUUCGCGUCAAAAAGUAGUAAUUUCUAUAAGUGCGUAGUCGUAUAGCGAUAAGAGUUGAGUAACCGGGCUCCUUCAUCUUAAAAAUAUUGGAGUUCGCAUCAAAAGACUCCAAUGGCUAGAGACCAAGUCUUUUGUGCUAUCAAAAAAAAAAAAGAGGAAAAAAUUAGAAAACGUGAAAAACAAAAAGUGAAGGUGGUGUUAGUGUGUGUGACAGAAAUCAGCUUGCUGAUUUAUGGAUCUAAUGUUGAGAUUUUGGUUAAUAUUUGGACCAUUUGCUGAUAAAUGUUGUGCAUCAUUCCUUUUGUCUUAGAUUAGUUAACCUGGAAUUGAAGGAGUCUGUGGUUUAGAAGCUAACCGGGGUGAUGUUUCUUGAAUUUUGAUCACCGAUGCUUGAUAUAUGUUUUUUCCUUGAUAUCUUGGCAAUAUGGUAGAUUGAGCAAUGGCCAUUAUCAAAUAUUGGUGUUUGUUUACUGUUCUCAUACCUGAGGACAAACAUGGUUUAGGUGUGAGGGGAAUUGAUAGGUUGCAAUUUUAUCAUUUAUUUUAUUAUUAUUUUCCCCUAUUACCUGACCCGAUGUAGAUUAAUUGUUGGAUUCUACUCACUUUUAGUAUUUUACAUUUAUUUCAGGGAGUAGAACGAAAAUAGGAUAACAAGUGUCAAUUUUACAGAAAAAGAGUUCAAGUCACAGAGCUUAUCCUAGGGGCAUUGUUGGCAAAGGAAAACUUCUGCCCAUUUUGGUAAUUGCUGGGGAAGAGAGCGCAGAGAGCCUUCUUUUUCUGGGGAGCCGCCGCACAUCUAAGGGAUUAGAGAGGAAAAUUAGAAUUAGGAACAGGGGAUGAGCACUACCUUUAAUCUUUGAGCUUUGACUUUUCUUUUGUCAUUGUAGUAGCUUUUCCUUCUUCAUAUAAAGACCUCUAGCUUAGCUUUUUCUUUUUGGACUUUUCCUUCUAGCUUUUGGUAGUGGAGUUCUCCUAUGCAUGUCAGGAGCCUUAUGAAGAAUUGAAUCAUUCUCUGUAGUUGCUGAUUUUUCCUUAUUCAAUCGAACAAAUUGAAUUCUCACGAACAAGGUCAAUGGCUGCUACUGUUGUUUCAAUUUUUUGUGGAUUUUGUUCAUCAAAUAUGAACUAAUUUUCUCACUCUAAUCAAGGGACAACGGAGGCUUUGGUUCGUCUAAAAAUUGUGAGAUCGAUUUAAUUUUAUCUUUUCCUAUUAUUUAUUGGUAUUCGCAUAUUCCUUGAUUGUAGUACUUAUGAUUAUUUAAUUAAUUGAUUGUCUUGGAUCUGGAUAAUUAGUUAACUUGAUAAUCUAUUGUCAAUUAGGGUAUUAAACCCGUAAUUGUUUAAUUACCUCAAAAUAGUGUCAACUGGCAUAUUAGGUUUGUGUCAGGGGAAUACGCGGCCUAAUCUAAAAUAACCCUGGUAGUGCGUUAUUUGGUUAGAAUAGGACUCCUCUAAUACGUAAGGCAACUGGAAAAUUAAAUUUUAUGGGGGGUAUCUUAGAUUAUUUCUCAAUUAUGGUAGUGAUUAACGAGCGUACCUUAAUCACCGGCACAGUAAGGAGGGAUUGACUGUCAUCGCUUGUUUGACAGUUAUAACCUAUUUAUUAGUAAAUAAUUGAAAUUGCUUUUGUUUCAAUGAUCAAUUAGGUGAACCAUUGCUGAAAUUAUUUCUUAGCUAGAUCAUUAGUUAUCAUUCAUUUGACUUUAGUAAAUUAUUAUUUAAUUUUUAGUAGUUUCUUGAAUUUUAUUUGCAUUUAUUUGAUUGUCACCUUCUACACAAAAAUACCCCCUAUUACUGUGAAUUUGAAAAGAAACAGUUACACCCAAUUCCUGUGGAUUCGACUCUACUUACCACUAUUUAAAAAAAUUAACUUUAGUUGAACAGACUUUUAUUAUUGCACAAGCCCGACACCCUGUCAUUGAUCGAAAGCUGUAGAAAGCUUAUAGUCGAAGAGGCAAUAUACAAAGAUCUUUUAUAGCUAGUUUGGCAGAUAGGAUUUGAUACGAAAAGGGAAAAAAGUGGAAGGAAGGAAUAUUUUUCUUUCAUUUGUGAGUUUACUCACGACAAAAAACAAAGGAUUUGACCUGAUUUGGAAGGAUUUAGAGUGCUGCUUGAGUUGAAAAUUUUUUUCACCCACUUAUGGGCUAAUUUGAACGAACGAAACGUCGAAGAAAGCCCAAAAUUUUUUCGAAAUAUCAAUUCUAUCUUUAGAUUAGCACUAAACAAAAUUUUAAUGAUAUAUAUAUAUAUCCUAAAUCAUUCUAUUUCUUUUCUAACCUCUCAAAUAAUAUUAAAAUCGUUGCAAUUCUUUUCUCUUCUUUUCUUUUCUUUCCUAACUUAAGUUUUCUCAUCUUUUCUUUUAUAUCCUAUGCUCCCAUACUAGCCAUUAAAGAGCUUUCUACCGGAGGAAUUUUUUCAGUGGAGACUCUGGCCAAGAAUCCAUUGGGUACCCCUAGAGGUUGAGGCAAUGUAGCAGAGUUUGAUAAAAAAAAGAUCCACACUUUUCUCACUCAGCAAUGAGCAGUUCGUUCCAAGACCCCAAGCCUCGUAUAGUUAUGGUUGUUUUGGAGCCUCAAUUUCUUUUUUUUUUUUUUUUGUAUCUUUAUGUUUUAGGAAAUUAGAAAUACGAUAUUAAUCCUCCUUAACCCCCUUUUUCUUGGUGGAUUUCCUUGUCCUAUAAAGGAUAAUUUAGAUUAGAUGCUUAUACAUGAAUUAGUCAUUUUGGAUUAGUCAUUUAAAAAAAAAAAAAGAAGAGAAAUAUUUUUUUAUACUUAUACUACAAACACGUUUUCUAACCAUUUUUUUUAUCUCAUAUAUAUCAUAUUGCAAAAAAUUUAAAAUAGUAUAAUCUUCUAUCCAAAUAGAGUCAACUAAUAGCAUAUGGUUACAACUCUUCUGUCGAUUUUGAAUUGUUAAGCUUAACAAAAAAAUCAGUUGGAUAGAUAACUAGCUAGGUUAGUGCAAUUGGCUAGAGAGUCAGUCACCCUUAAGUUACUCUCGCUGCCAAGGUUGAACAUCGCAUCUCAUUCUUGGCAAGCAGGUUAAGGUUUUUCCCAGUCUAAGUGGGCUGCUAGAGCCACCAUCUGUGUAGUAAUGCUAGUCAAAGUUGUAUUACAUUUGGAUUCAUCCUUUGUUACUUGUGCUCCACUCUAUUCUGGAUUUCGAUUGUAGUCUUGUACUCCUAUAUUGAAAAAAGAAAAAAAAUAGUUGGAGAGUUAACUUAAAAGAAUACAAAUCUGAAAAAAAACAAAAUAAUUGGAGAGUUAAAAGUAUACAAAUUUGAAAUUUCGAGAAGAUCUAGGUCAUUUGCCCUAAAAAGAAAGAGGUACUCUGUGAAAACGAGGCGAAAGGGUUCCAACAAAAAUUUUAACAUGUAGAGAAAAUCCUGCAAACUUGAGCUUGAGCAACACAACUAGACGAAUGAAUGCAGAAUAACUAAGCAAAUUGUUGUUGCUAAAAAGCAGUUUUUCGUUUAACCAAUAAUUUCCAAUAAUAACAAGACAGACAAAACAAAUUUCCAGCCAGCAAUGACCAAUUGAUUUUCAACUGUUCUUAAAUUUAUUAUCGUUCAUUUCUUCUUUAAAUAAUUUUGCUAGUAAUGAUUUUGUUACCACUACCGGUAACUUGGGUUGCCUUCAAGGUGUAGCGAAUUUUAAAUAGCUAGACAUCUUGUAUGAUUUUGCUACCUGAAAAGUUGAUUAAGAAUAACUGUUUUCAAGACUUUUAUGCUUAUUUCUCUCUUAUAUUUUUGUGAUUUUCUUUAGAAAAAAUUUGUCUUUUUUCCUUCUCCUGAAGCCUAUAAUUUACAUAUAUUACUAACUAAGGUUUAUCAGAUUUUACAGUUUUGAAUCCGAUAUUCUCUGUUACUUAAUUGAAAUUCCUAAAUCAUAUCAAAAGCUAUUUUUUUGGAUUUUGGGGGGGGGGGGGGGGGUGGUGGAAGGGACUUAUUUGAAUAAUAAUUAAAAUGCAGUUUGCAUAGAGGAGGGGAGAAAAAGGAAAAAGAAAAAAAUGUUAGUAGCUAGUCCAGUUUCUCCUAUAUAUUCCCUCGACAAUGUCACCAAAUAAAUAUUGAUUGAUACAUAAUUCUGGGCAAAAAAGUUCUUCUUCUUCUUCUUUUUUUUUAAAAAAAAUAUUAAUCCUAUACAGACCAAAAUAUUUAUUAAAUUUUAGAAACGUGAUUAUAUAAUAGUUAAGGGACUAAAUUGAACAAAAUCCAAAAAAGGAGGGACAUAAAUGGCUAUUUUCCAAAUUAAACGCAAUCAUAUUAUAAAUGGUUACUCAAGUAGCUCAUCUACAUAUCUCCAAUUCACAAUUUGUUCACAUCUUUUAGGAGUCUACAUACUUUAAAAAAAGAAAGAUAACCCUGACUGAUUUUGUACUUGCCACAAUUUGUUCACAUCUUUUAGAAGUGUACAUACUUGAAAAAAAAAAAGGAUAACCCGUACAAAUUUACAUCUUCCGUCCCACUUUGAUAGUCUUAGUUUUUUUUUUUAUGCAAUUUAAGAAAAAUUAGCUAACUUUAGUGAAAGGGUAAAUCUAACAUGCUAUUUUUCUAAAAUAUUCUUACAUUAAUAUUAGGAGUAUGAAAAAGCAUUAUACUUUUUACAUUAAUUAUAAUAACAGUAUUGAUGGAAAGUUGCACCAUUCAAGGGUUGAAUCAAAGCAAUUAUUGAUGGAAAAGGUAAUUGUACUAAAUAAGGUGAUAAUAUUUGUAAGUAGUGGUAAGUAGGGUAAAGCUAACUACAGUAUAUUUUUCGAUUAAAAAAAGCGGAUUAUAAUUUAGGAUAGAACGGAUGAAAAAGAAAAACAAACCAGUAAAAGAGGGACUUAAAAAGUAGUAGUACAAAACAACUUCAAAGCGCGUACAAUCCUUUAAUGCAAGAUAGCUCGGUCCCAUCUUCUAGAAGUGUACAAAGUUCAUACAAUGUAUUUACACUAUCGUGUGCGGCCUAAAUGUGAAAACGGGAUGGACGGAAACAUAGAGCCAGCUAGCGGUACACAACUAACUGCACGCACGGGAAGGAAGCCUCCUUCUAGAAGGAUUGCUUGAUGAACAAGGGAAAACAAAUAAAACGCAACAUUCUUGACGCUAGCCUAUGAUUUCUAUAAAUAGACAAACGCGGCCAAGAUGUUUGAUGAAAUCUGAUGAAAUCCGGGAACACAAAAAGCCAGUUAGGAUCACAAGAAACCAGUCGGGCAAUACUGUUUGCAAAAAAAAAAAUAUAUACUUAUCUUACAAGCCAAGACUCAGGCUCGGUCCCUUCGGGAAAACGAUCAAUCCUCCCUCCAUUUUCUCUUUCCAGGAAUUUUCCGAAAAGGGAGAGUUAGAUAUAUAGAGAGAGGGAGAAGAUUUAGCUUCGGCCCUUCAGGAAAACAAUCUUCUUUCCCUCCCUCUUUUUAUAUCUACAAGUUCUCAGUAAAGGGAGAGACAGAUAUAUAGAGAGGAAGAAGGCCUGAGAAUGCCCGAAACGGAGUCGGAAACUACGCCGUCGGCGACAACGGGAAAAUCCCAGAAUGCAGAUCAACAGAAAGUGCCAUUUUAUAAGCUUUUCACGUUUGCAGAUCGUCUUGACAUUGCACUAAUGAUUGGGGGAACACUCGGAGCCAUUGGCAAUGGUAUGUCUCAGCCUAUCAUGACCCUGAUAUUUGGGAAGCUUAUUAAUACCUUUGGUGGUAGCAGUGGAAAACCAGAUCUCUUAGAUGAAAUCUCGAAGGUAAAUUUUUUCUUUUUUUUUUUGGUGCGUGUUUUUGGUUUUCUUUUUAAUGUUUCUUGGCGUUGUUUUCUUGUCAAUUUCCACCAUUAUUCUUCGUUUGCAUGUGAAUAAUGAUGGAGGAGGAGGGUUCUUCACCUAGGAAAAUCCCUUAAAAAUUGUGGGGUACUGUGUGAAAUUCUAAGGUCUUCUUAGGGUACCAAAUUCUGCAAUUCUGAAAUUCUAAGUUCUCUAUUGUUUGUUAGAUAAAACGUUGCUAAAUCAUGUCUUGGCUCUUAAUUUUGCUCUUCCAUGCAAGAAAUAUUCUUGAUUGACAAUGACUUUCCAUCUCCAUUCCUAUAUUACCUUUGACUACACUUCAUAUUUGUAAGAGUCAAAUUUAGAUAGGAGACUGAAAAUGAUCAUUCGAAUCAAGACAUUCUUGCUUCAUUCGAAAAUAAUCUCUUUCCUUUACUCUCAAAAUUAAUUGCGAAAUUUAAUGUUUUAAUGUUACUAGUAAGGGUUGCCAACUAAUAAAUGCAUCACGUACCAAACGGAUUCAUACACAGUUGUUUUCUUCCUAGAAGCUAUGCACUGAUUUUAAAAAGUAUUAACAUGCCCAGCAUUUGAUAACUGAAAUGAGCUAAUUACGUAAUGAUUACUCGAAUAUAAUGUCCUUAUUGAUGUCUACUGGAAAAUUUUCCCAACAAGAGUAGUAAAUUUUAGCUUCAUGGAAACAGUAUCAAAGAACGAAUGCAUGAGUACUUAACAGAGCAUCCCGUUCUGAUUUUCUCUGAAUACGAUAACUUUUAAGGUGCAUACUUUUACUCUCUUUUUUUUUUUUUUUUGGCAAAAUUAAUCCAAGUGAUAGUGAAUUUUGGAUUAGCAAGCCAAGCCAUAUUUGCUGCUAUUUAAUACGAAGCAUGAAUAUUGGUAUUUUUUUUAAUGAAACACCAGGAGAAACCUUCUCUGAAAACAAUAACUUGUAAGGUGCAUAUUUUUACUUUCUUUUCUUUUUUUGGGCAAAAUCAACCCAAAUGACACUGAUAUUUGGAUUAGCAAGCCAUAUUUGUUGCUAUUUAAUCUGAAGAAUAAAAAUUGGUAUUUAUUUUUUUUAAAUCAAACACCACGACAAACGUACUAAAUAGUUGUUGCUCUGAAUUUUAGGUGUGCCUUGAUUAUGUUUACUUGGCUAUCGGCGCUGGCAUUGCCUCCAUUUUACGUAAGUCAAGAUUGACUCCUUACUUUUUUUUUUUCUUUCUUUUUCAUUUUUGUUGAAUAAAUUGUUAUACUUUGUUGACUGAAUUAGGCAACACUACAAAGUUCUUAGCAGUUUCUCCAGCUGCUUAGUUACGUGCCACGUGUACUUAGGAUUAGGCUAAACUAAACUGUAGCAGUGUUAGGUGAGGCUAUUAUAGAGGGGAAGAAAUUUGGGAUGGCAAGUGACGUUGAAGAUGCUUAGCAGAAAUUAUCAUGGCUGAAAUUUUACCAUAAUUAAACUCUCUCGCAAUUUUCAUGCAUAGUAACAAGUCUUUCUGCUGCCCUGGAAGAAGAGGUAUCUAGCUUUGGGACCAGAACUGAGGCCUCUGGUAUAUGAGUUGUUUUGGUCAGCAGCAAUUAAGUGUAUAGCUAUAUUAAUGGGUGCUAAAACUAGCUAGAACUAGUAAUCAUCCUCCCCUCAAGAGGAGGAUAAAGCAAUCAAUCACUAGUCAAGUAUUUACGCUUGUCAUUUAAUGAAGUAAGCAACCCUGGCAUGAUUAAUUGUGUAUCACAAAAUAUAAUGGUCAAUGGCUUUUGCCUUUCAAUUGGGAAAUGGAUUUCAAGAAAUUGGUUGAUGCAGAAUUUUGGUUCAACUUUUUCUACACGGUUUAAAAUAUACGUUUACUUACAGUUCAAACGAAUAAGCUAAGCUUGAUGUAAUGUUUCUUCCUAAUUUAAUACAGAGAUGUCGUGCUGGAUGGUAACUGGAGAAAGACAGGCGACCCGCAUACGUGGUUUGUACUUGAAAACAAUCUUGAGGCAAGACAUUUCAUUCUUUGACACUCAAACAACGACAGGAGAGGUCAUUGGCAGAAUGUCUGGAGACACAGUCCUCAUCCAAGAAGCCAUGGGUGAAAAGGUGAACUUUAUAGCAAAAUGCUAAUGCACUAAUUCAGUUUUAAGAUAGUCGUACACUGUCAUAACUUGAUACCAAUACAAAACUCACCAGUGUUAUAUAUUUGCAAAAUGCAACAUAGAAUUAUUGUUCGGGAAUCAUCUUCAGAUUAUAAUCUCUUAAAUAAGGGAACAAGUGGUUUUUUUUUUUUUUUUCCUGAUAUUUUGGUACUACAUGCAUUUUCUGAUGUAUAGAACUUUAAAAGCAAAUUCCUGAUGAUUUGCCUACAUGACAGGUAGGGAAAUUCAUCCAGUUUGCAUCAACAUUUCUUGGAGGAUUUGUGAUUGGUUUCAUCAAGGGGUGGCGUUUGGCAAUAGUCCUAUGCAGUUGUAUUCCUGCUCUGGUUGUUGCUGGAGGAGCUAUGGCAUUGUUCAUGUCCAAAAUGUCAAGCCGUGGCCAAAUUGCUUAUGCAGAUGCUGGAAAUGUAUUAGAACAAACUAUAGGAGCAAUUAGAACGGUAAAGUCUUGCUGCAAAAGCUUGUUUUGGAUCGGUGUAAUAAUUUGUAGCCAGUGAAUUAAUUCAUUUGAUUUUUGUUCUCCAUUUAAUGUGUCAUAGGUUGCAUCAUUUACUGGAGAAAAGCGAGCAAUCAAGAAAUAUGACGACAAACUACAGGUUGCUUAUGAGUCGACAAAUAAACAAGGACUGGUUUCAGGACUGGGACUUGGCACGAUCUUGCUGAUUGUCUUCUCUAUUUAUGGACUAGCAAUAUAUUAUGGAUCCAGGCUAGUUUUAACCAAAGGAUACAGUGGUGGGGAUGUCAUUAAUGUCAUGAUGGCCAUAAUGAUGGGAGGAAUGUAAGUAUAGAAUGUUUCUUUUAAUCUAUUUGAUGUUCGAUUUUUUCUUUUCUUUUUUUUUGUUUUUCUGUGUUCUUGAGUUCAUUGUAAUUGGGCAAAUAUCAAGAUUUUUGGGUUAAUUAUAUGUUUAAUAAGCUUGGAUUUUGAUCCACUGUAUACAAGAUUCCAAUGCUUCAGGAGAUUUGGCAAAAUAUAUGAAAUCAGUUGUAACUCGAACAAAGCUGUGGAUUCUAAGCGAUGAUGGAUUAAUGCAUUUCAAGAGCAGUUCUAACUCAUUAUUUCCAUUGGAAUCAGGUCAUUGGGCCAAACAUCUCCUAGUCUAAAUGCAUUUUCAGCAGGGCAAGCUGCAGCUUUCAAGAUGUUUGAGACUAUCAAGCGUGUACCCCAAAUUGAUGCAUAUGAUAAUAGUGGGAUUGUCUUGGAAGACCUGAAGGGUGAAAUUGACCUCAAGGAUGUAUACUUCAAGUAUCCCGCAAGACCAGAGGUGCAAAUUUUCUCUGGAUUCACAUUGCACGUUCCUAGUGGCACGACUGCAGCUUUAGUAGGGCACAGUGGAAGUGGGAAAUCGACAGUUAUCAGUCUCUUGGAGAGAUUUUAUGACCCUGAAGCUGGGGAAGUGCUUGUUGAUGGCGUGAACAUUAAGCAGCUGCAGAUCAAAUGGUUAAGAGAUAAAUUAGGGCUAGUGAGCCAGGAGCCAAUCCUAUUUGCAACUUCCAUAAGGGAAAACAUACUGUAUGGAAAACCAGGUGCUACGGACUCAGAAAUCAGAACAGCAAUUGAGCUGGCUAAUGCUGCGAAAUUCAUCGACAAACUCCCUAAGGUAAAGGCUCUUGAUUAUUUGAUUUGUUCGAAUAUAUGCGGAUUCUCGAUUUCUCUAUCUGUCCAUGUUGAGAAUCCGGUUAUCUUCUCUGUAGGGGCUUGACACAAUGGUCGGCGAACAUGGGACUCAACUCUCUGGGGGACAAAAGCAGCGGGUUGCAAUUGCUAGAGCCAUUCUAAAGAACCCAAGAAUCCUUCUUCUUGAUGAAGCGACAAGCGCUCUGGAUGCAGAGUCGGAACGCAUAGUACAAGACGCCCUUGAUAAAGUUAUGAUCAACAGAACUACAGUGGUUGUUGCACAUAGAUUGACGACUAUCAGAAAUGCUGACCUCAUAGCAGUAGUACAUGCUGGCAAACUCGUUGAACAAGGUACAGACGUUAUGAUUUGUGAAUGUUACAUUUUUUUUUCUCACUUGGGGCAAUUAAUGAACUUUCCUCCAAAAAUCAUUUGGUAGGAACUCAUUCCGAGUUGAUUAAAGAUCCUAAUGGCGCAUACUACCAGCUUGUCCGUAUGCAAGAGGGGUCCAGGUCCAACCAAGCUAAAGGAAAUUCCACAAAAUUGGACGUAGAGAUAUCAGAAGCUUCUAUUGAUUUAGAUGACAGUUUACAUAGGAGUUUGAGCCAAAGAAUGUCUCUGAGAUCCACGAGCAGAGGAUCAUCAAGACAUUCCUUCACUCUCAAUUUUGGAGUUCCUGGUCUCAUUGACAUCCAUGAAGCAGAAGUAGGACAAGAUGUACAUGGAACUGAUGAAGCUGACUUGAAGAAGAGCCAAAAAUUCUCACUUUUACGACUUUUCAAUUUAAACAAACCUGAGCUACCAUAUAUGCUGCUUGGUUCCAUUGCUGCUUGUGGGCAUGGUGUUGUCUUCCCUGUUUUUGGGCUCUUACUCUCAAAAUGCAUUAGAAUUUUCUUUGAACCUCCACAUGAACUAAGGAAAGAUGCGAGAUUUUGGUCACUGAUGCUUGUUGGUUUAGGUGCUUUGACUUUGGCAAUUGUACCAGUGCAGAAUUACCUUUUUGGAGUUGCAGGUGGUAAAUUAAUACAGAGAAUUCGAUCUUUGUCAUUUCAGAAAGUAGUCCACCAAGAAAUCAGUUGGUUUGAUGACCCUGCAAACUCGAGGUGAGUUUAUUCAUUUGUUCUCAUGGCCCAAUGCCCUUUGCUUUAAUUCAGGAGUUUAAACUGGAAUUUUUGUUUCCCCAAAAAACAGUGGUGCAGUGGGUGCGAGGUUGUCUACUGAUGCUUCAACUAUGAGGAGUUUGGUGGGCGAUGCUUUGGCGCUAGUUGUCCAGAAUCUGUCGACAGUAGUAACUGGGCUUGUGAUCUCGUUUACUGCUAAUUGGAUACUAGCAUUUAUAGUUGUAGCCGUAUUACCCUUCAUUGGAUUGCAAGGAUUUCUCCAGGCGAAGUUCCAUAAGGGCUUUAGUGGAGAUGCCAAGGUAAGCCCUGCACAUUACACAAAGCCAGGAAAAAGAAAAGAUGCAGUGAACUGACACGCGUCUCAAUGCUCUGCAGGUCAUGUAUGAAGAAGCAAGUCAGGUAGCAAAUGAUGCUGUUGGCAGCAUUAGAACUGUUGCAUCAUUUUGUGCUGAAGAGAAGGUUAUGGACACAUAUCAAAAGAAAUGUGAAGGCCCCAUGAAAUAUGGUGUCAAGCAAGGAAUGGUCAGUGGCUUUAGCUUUGGACUUGGGUCUUCUGCAAACUAUUUAGCAACUGCAUUCAUCUUCUGGGUUGGAGCUCGUCUUAUUGAACAUGGGAAAGCAACCUUUGGUGAGGUAUUCAAGGUAAGGUUCAUCUCAUAAACCUCACAAGAGUAGGCUUUUUUGCAUCUAUGUCCAAAUCUUUUAUUAUCUAACACGGGUUCCAUACAGGUUUUCUUUGCAUUGACAAUGGCAGCUUUGGGAGUUUCCCAGACAACCGCUUUGACUCCAGAUAUUAACAAAGCUAAAGUUGCUGCUGCUUCUAUAUUUGAAAUUCUUGAUAGUAAGCCUAAGAUUGAUUCAAGCAGUGAUGAGGGUCAAGUGCUUGCUACUGUAAAGGGUGACAUUGAGCUGCAACAUGUAAGCUUCAGGUAUCCAACACGGCCCGAUAUUCAAAUUUUCAAGGAUCUGUGCCUAUUAAUUCCUUCUGGAAAGGUAACUCCCAAUGAUAUUCUUUUACUGUAAGCUUUCUUUUUCUCAACCUACCUUCUAUAAACUAUUAAAAAAACUCAAAAGGAUGGCUCAUCCUAUUUAGGCUGUUAUUUGGACUCACAAACAUUCAACUUGUACUCAGACUGUUGCCCUUGUUGGUGAAAGUGGUAGCGGGAAGUCCACAGUCAUUAGCCUAAUAGAGAGGUUCUAUAAUCCCGACUCCGGGCACAUAUAUCUUGAUGGUGUGGAAUUGUGGAAGCUGAAGAUAAAUUGGCUCAGGCAACAAAUGGGGUUGGUGGGUCAAGAACCUGUACUCUUCAACGAAACAAUUCGGGACAACAUUGCCUAUGGCAAACGGGGGGAUGUAACAGAGGAGGAGAUCAUUGCUGCAGCAAAAGCUGCAAAUGCACAUAACUUCAUUUCGGGAUUGCCUCAGGGAUAUGAUACUUCUGUUGGAGAAAGAGGGGUCCAGUUAUCCGGUGGACAGAAGCAACGGAUCGCCAUUGCACGCGCAAUACUCAAAGAUCCAAAAAUCCUUUUGCUGGAUGAGGCAACAAGUGCUCUUGAUGCAGAAUCAGAACGUAUAGUUCAAGAUGCACUAGAUAAGGUGAUGGUGAAUAGAACCACAGUUGUUGUCGCUCAUCGCUUGAGCACAAUAAAAGGGGCUGAUAUCAUUGCAGUAGUCAAGAAUGGUGUGAUUGCUGAGAAAGGAGGACAUGAUACGCUUAUGAACAUUCCUGAUGGUGUCUACGCAUCACUGGUUGCACUUCAUAUGACUUCAACUUAGGCCACCUACUUCAUAAUUCUGCAAUAGAACCAUUUUUGGAGUUUUAGCACUUUGGUUUAUAGAUAUGGUACUCAAGCUAAUAUGCUGGUUUUGAAUAUAGAAAAGGGUUAGCAAUGGAACCACAUUAUGUUUAUUUAUUUAUUUUUUUACUAAUGCUGAUUUUUUAUAUAGAAAAGUGUUAGUUAGCAAUGGAACCACUUUAUGUUUAGUGUAUUUUGUUUUUAAUCUUUCUAUCAAUCUAAGGUUUAUUGCUGUUAAUAAUAAUAUUCCGAAAAUAAUAAGUUAAAAUAAAAUAAGAUUUAUCUUUCAAACCAAUGAAUAUUAGCCCAUUUCCUUGCAAACUCUCCACGUUACUCAAAUCUCUCUGGCAUAAAGCUUCAGAUCAUCCAUCUUUAGAUAUUAUAGAUCUUGAGUAGACUAGACAUAUGCAAAUUUUUGCACAGAACUUUCAAAAUCAAAGCGAAGAACAACCAAUACCACCAUCUAGUCACCAGAAGGUUCUAACAAAAUUGCAAAAUAUGGAAACCCCUGCGGAUAACUUACUUGUACUGGUACAAAUGGAUGCAAAACUAAUCAUAUCUGCCCUUGUCAAGCAUUGCUCGGACUCUCAUCGGCAGUCCAUAAAGCCGAAUGAAUCCAGCAGCAUCAGCCUGAUCAUAUAUUUGGCCACUCUCAAAUGAUGAUAUAUCUUGUCUAUACAAGCUAUAUGGACUUUCUCGACCUGCUACGGAUAUAGAUCCCUUGUAGAGUUUGAGCGUCACAGAGCCAGUAGUGCUUUUUGUAAUUUCCUCCAUGAAGGCAUCCAUUGACUCACGAAGUGGGUCAAACCACCGGCCAGCAUAGACUAGCUCAGCAUAUUUUAGUGCGAGAGAAUCCUUGACUUGCAUUGUUUCACGAUCAAGUGUAAGUGACUCGAGUUCACGGACUGCUGUAAAGAGAAUGGUUCCACCAGGGGUUUCAUACACUCCGCGACUUUUCAUUCCGACAAGACGAUUUUCGACCAUAUCUAUUCGCCCUAUCCCGUGCCUUUUACCAAUUUCAUUUAGCUUAGAGAGGAGAGAUGCAGGGGAAAGCUUCACUCCAUCAACUGAAACUGGAAGUCCAGCAUCUAUCCCAAUUUUCACCUUCCUGAAAGGACUCGGAAUUUAAAGUGGUUCAAUAUUAUGCACUAAAAUAGGUCAGACAUUUCAAUACCCAAUCAGCACAAAUUUUUUGCUCUGAACGAAUCAUAUACUAUACAAGAUGGAGCCUUACUCAGGUUGAUCAGGUGCAUCUUCUGGGUUGACACUAAUCAUGUACAUGUCCUCCUUUGGCUCAUUUGCGGGGUCUUCUAAUAUGUCUCCCUAAACAAAAAUAUAGUAGCAAGCAAUGGCAACUACAUUUAGGUCGUAGAUCAUCAGUUCACAAAACUAAGAGGAUGCAAAAACAACAGUUAAACAAAAGCGAUUCUCAUUAAAACAGCGACGCAAAUAGCAGGAUAUGAACAGAAUCUGGCACCAGAUCUGCUUUUCUAAUGAACAAUAAGACUAAGUUCAGAAUGUUUCUAGAAAGAAACCAAGUUAAAUAGCUUCUUUCCUGUUUGGUUCACAGGGAGAUUCUGAACCUUACAAAGGGGAAGGAGGAAAGGGCAGGGAUUGAGAGUCAAACCCAGGGCCUUAUGGUCAUUGGUAAAUGUCCCUACCAGCUAAGCUGGGUCCUGGGGACAAGUUAAAUAGGUUAUAACAUCUGUUUUCGCCUACUUUUAAAGCCAUGACCUGUAAUAAGCACUAUAACCUAGUUGGCAUCCAAACAAAUAAAACCAUAGUAAUUACUAUGUUCUAAUGUUUCCAGGCUCACUAUUUUGCGUUCUAUUAUCUCGAGAACCUUAGCUGCUAUUUAUUUAUGAUAUUUUUACUAGACCGAAUUGACUAAUGAUUCAAUAGAUAAGAUCACCUUUCUAUCUUUGGGAAGGAAAGUAGUAUGCAAACCAGCUAAGCCAAGAUAAUAGGUGAGCAAACUUCCUAACCAGGAUAGCAAGAACUUCACACUGAACUGAAUACCAGAAUGUUAUAAUUUACUAGCAUGACAUCUUGGUGAAGCUGCUAGUCAAGUGCUUUGGGGUUUGCAAUGAAAGCAUUCUGCUUUCUUGUAUGCCUAAACAUCAUUUAAAAAAUCAUAAUAAGCUGGAAUUACUUUUCAAGAAAGGUAGUCAUGCUAUUACCUCAUGACUGAGAUGCCACAGGUUUCUGUCUCUGCUAUAGAUUGAUUUCUUUGUAACUGGAACUGGAAUACUGUGUUUCUUAGCAUACUCAAUAGCAUCUUCUCUACCCCUUAUUUCCCAUUCCCUCCAAGGGGCAACAACACUAAGUUCGGGAUUCAGAGCAAAGAAAGUCAGCUCAAAACGUACCUGCAACAGCAAGAGUCAGGUAUACUCCCCAAUAACAUGAACUACUAGAAACAUCACAUUGUUCGUAGAAGAAAAUAUGAUCAAAUAACAAUCAAAUUAAUAAAGAUCAAUUCUGAAGCAUGCCUGAUCAUUGCCCUUUCCUGUGCAUCCAUGUGAUACUGCAUCUGCUCCAACUUCUCUCGCAACAUCAACCAUUGCCUGGGAUUUGUUAAAAAAUUAAGGUGCAAAGCUAAAAGAAAAUUUAACGGACAGAUAAUGCCACCUAUGAAAUGAGAAACCCUACUAUAAGAAUAUUAUGUAAACUCAGCACCAUGGAGCUUUAACAUAGAUUAACAAAAAUGCUUCUAUAGCGAGUUUCAAAAUGACUCUGUGGAGUGUUGGAUCCAAUAUUUGAUCAAAACAACAACAUACACACAUUAAAGUUACUUCCUUGACAAACUGCUUAACAGAAAUUAAGGGUGAAAGUGGGAAGAGGGUAUUUUUGUUUUUUUUUUUGUGGGUUUUUUUGUUUGAGGGGGGGGGGGGAGAGGAGGAGGACUUGCAAAAGACUCGUCUCCAACUGUUGCAAGGAAAAGAAGGAAAGAAAGGGAAGGAAUACUCAAAGAGUGAAACUCUUUAAGACACACGACUCCAUGGUGCAUAUUUUAGUUAUUUACUUCACAUAGUUUACCUUUGCAAUUACAGGGCGAGCCAUUGAGGUACCCAGUAAAUACUUCCUCUCAUAAAUGGCGCCAGCUCUCAAGCAAGGAAAUAUGUAAUCUUUCACAAAUUCCUCCUUCAAAUCUUUCACCACUAACUGACAAGCUCCACUUGCUUUUGCCUUCUCUUCUAAACCUUCCAACUCUUUAAUACCCUUUAAAUAGAAUUCAGCAUUAAGUGUCAGAUAUAGAGACAAGUUUCUAAUGUUAUCUGGCAAUAUUAUGAACAAUAGUGAUAAUCCGCUCCUAGAGAAUAAAAUGAAUAAUAGCACAUAUACAAAGGAAUGUCUACGGCACUAAAUAUGAAAAAGUGUCCACAAUGUAGCCCAUUCUCACUUACUUGGCCGACAUCUGCUGUGAAGCAAACAACCUCACAACCAUAAUUCUCUCUGCAACAUGAAGAAAAUUUAGACAUGCAAAACACGAGCAGGAUCAGAACAAGGAAAAUAAUAUCUCUAUUCAUAGAAAGCAUAAAAUAAAUAUACCAGUCAAUACAAACCAAGGAUAAUCCAUGUAAUUACCACAGUAUAUUAACUGAACAGAGAAAUCUGUCUGCUUAACUUUUAUCUCAACCUCACCCAUUACAGCUCCAUAAACAAGAAAUUUACAAAUUACACAAGCGUCUGCACUACUUCUGUACAAAAUUUUAUGUAAUCACCCAAUUUGGCUUCAUUUGUUUUUUUUAAAGUAAUAGGUACACAUACAGCAAUGACACAUCCGAGUUCCCAGAGCAAAUAGAGUAUCACUCUUUAGAAAAUGUCAAUUUAGCAGUCAUAUUUGAGAACAUAGAGAACAUAUCAAUCAAAGGUUACCUUAGCCAAGGUACAAUGACAGAGGUAUCUAGACCACCACUAUACGCUAGCACCACCUUGUCCAAUUUUUUACGUAGAACUUUUCCUUCUGUGGCACCAGCAGGAAUUGACUCCUUAUCACUGGCUACAACAGCUCGGAUAGCUGCAUCAUCAGUUAAGCAUAUGUGUCACAUCAGAAAAUAUAGCUAAUAAGAAACCUUAUAGCAACUAACCCAAGAAUUCAAAAUACAAUGCUAACAAAAUUGGCAACCAAUAAAUGGACCAUAAAAUUUACCUAUAACACCUCAAUUUUGUCAAUGAUGCAAAUUCGUAUAAAUAUGUUAGAGAAUAAUAGUCAUCAUUCAGUACCAACCCAAAUUCCUUUUCUGAUUUUUGAUAUUCAUGUUUGAGCAGCACAAAGAUAUUAUAAUGCAAAUAUAGAAGGGACGUCCCCAAUCUUAACAAAAAACACAGACAACAAAAAUUUAUUCCCAUCCAUUUAAGCAAACUAACUUCUUUGAAACUGAAUCUUGCCCAUUAUUCCCAUCCAUUUAACAUUUCAUUUUGGGGCGUGAACGGGAAUGUUUACAAUGAGAAAGAUAAACAAGAAGCUAAGAUUCAAUUAAUUUAAUUAGUUUCUAAACAUAUAACACCAUUUGAGUAUUUCUUUUGCUCAAAAUGAGGAAAAAAAAUGAAAAGACCGUAUACCAAAUUUAUUGAUGCGAAUCGGAGCCAAAUUCUUCGAGCUGCAGUGAGCAAUAGAAUGUCCACCCGCUUUCACCCCUAGCUGCCAUUAGGAGAAAAAGAAAAUAAGUGAAAAAAAUUCAAAACCCAGCACUUAAAAAACGAGCAACAGAAAAUAAAACAAAAAAAAAAAAAGAAAAGCAGUACAAUUACUUACCUCGUGCAAAGGUAGCGAGGUAGCCGCCUUUCCAGACAAAUCUGCAGACAACAUUAAAAUCCCAAAAUCUUUCAGGAAAACCCUUUAUUUUGAAGGUAAAAAAUGAAAGGAUAAAUCCAGAAUUAAAAAGGUUGAGACCAUAUUUUACCUGUUCUGGAGGCAUGAGGGAAGAGAUUAAGUGAAGUACAAGAUGAAAUUGCUCGACACUGAGUCAUUCUGUUCGAAUGAUGAUACAAGGACAGAAAUACGCCCUCGGAACCAGAGGUAUGAGCAGAGGUGGGUGGAGGUGUAGGCGGAGGACCGUCAAAUAAGCUCUAAUUCUUCUUCUAGUUGUAAGUGGUGCAGCUGCAGGGUUUUGAAUUUUUUAACAGAUACAAUAAAAGGGUUUUGAACUUUUCCUCAUGCUGUUAUCUUUUUUAUUUAUUUAAUUGGAAGAAACAAAUAGAUCAACCAAUUGUGCAAGAGAGCUACUACUAUUAAAAAGUAUCAAUCACUCUGUUCUUUUCUUUUUCCAUAUAGAAAGAGAUAUAGAAUGAUUGUAGAAUUACAAACAAAUGCUUUAAAUAAAUCACUAACAUUUAAUACAGAACCGUAAAAUAACAUGAAUCAACACUAUAUACCACACCCCCAUACAGGAGAAGUAUACAAUUUAACCAAUCCCAAAACAAGAAUCUAACAAAUACAUCCAUCACAUUUGGUGGGACCAGACGAAACAUAAUAACAGUUAAAAUUCUGAUAUCAAUUACAUUCUUCAACUGUAAGCUUCUCAUUUUUUUCUAGGAAUCAAGCAGAACAAAUGUAGGUCGUUCAUGAUGGAUGAUUUCUUGUUUAAGUUUACGAUUAGUAGAAGUGUUGAAUCAAAAUACUAGAACCCAGGCUUUGACCAUGAUUUUCAGAGAAUUUUAGGGUAUAAAAAAUUUUAAAAAAAAAAUUACCCUUGAGAGAGAGAGAGAGCUGGAAGAGCUGGAAAAUGUCGCUUCUUUGGAGCUGCAACCAUGACAGAGAGGGAGAAAGCGUGGGCGUCGCAGGCCUCGCUAGCUGGAAGAAGCGUAGGAGAAGAAGAGGAGGUGCUCUGUUUUGAUUCCGUAAGUGGGGUGGGGGCCGCACCUGAAUAAGGGAUGAGGAAUAUAGGGUUUGACAAUAAUGAUGUUUAUUUUGUAACUAAGUCCCUUUAUUUUGACUUUAUUAUUUUUUAACAAGUAACUUAAUCUCUUUACAAUUUUGCACUUUUUUAAUAUAAUUUCAGCCCCUUGUACUUAAAAAUUUUAUCUUUUCUAACCCAACUUAUGGUUCUUUUUAACCUAAUUGAACUUUUUAUUUAAAAAAAAAAAUUCACUUUAUACCUAUGUUACAUGGACUUGCCAUUCGUUCCCAGCACAAAUAACCAGGGAGGAUACAAAAUUUUUUGCAAAGUUACAUGCUAGUGACCCUUUGGAGGUUACUAGCAUAUUCAUUGGAUAAAAAAUAUGGCUUUCUUUUUUUUUUUUUUUGGCUAGUUGAUACCUAUUGUAAAGUUACCAGCAGCCAGUCACUUAUGGGUGACUAUAACACUUGACCAUGCUCUCUUCCACUUGUAUAAUAAAAUUAUACCUCCUGACUAAUGCCAAUUUCCAAGACCAGCCGUUACUUUAGCUGUGCUUAAGCAUAAUGCCAAUUUCCAAGAUGCACCAUUAAUUCAGCCUUAACAAGGCUUUGAUUGUGCUCUCCAUGAAAUAAUAUGUGCUUUUAUUUUAUUAUUCAUUUGAUAUAUUAAAUCCAACUAUUAUAUGUUAACAAUAUUUGAAAAUAUUUUUAUAUAUAAAAAAAUGUCUUUAUUUAAUGAAAACCAACUGCAUUACCAUGUACUUUCUCUUUGAUCUCACUGAUACCAAUUGCUAGCUAGCUUUUUGGCGAAUUUAUUAGUAUAUUGUCAAUUUUGAAAAAGUUCACAAAAUUGGGGGUAUUCGGGGUGGAAUGCUGAGUAAGGUGUCGCGCAAUUGAGAGUUGAGUCUACUAAUAAAAAUAUUUUUAAUUUUUAUUUAUUUUAGUUUCAUGUAUUUUGGGUCAAUUUUUGUAAAAAAAAAAAAAAAAAAAAUCUUUGGAAUGUUGCUUCGCCGCUCAUCUGAUGGGCGGCGAAAGAAUGUUGGUCAAAUUGCUUCGUCGCUCAAUUGAUGAGCGGCGAAGCUUUUGUCCUUAUGUUCUAGUUUUUUUACUUUUUUUUUUUCGAAGCAUUCUUCCUACGUUUUUAUUGUUUCAUAUGUAAUUUUUAAUAAGUGUGGCCGUUCAUUCUAAUUUAUUUUUUUUACGAAGCAUUCUUCCUACCUUUUAUUAUUUCAUAUGUAAUUUUUAAUAAGUUAUUUAAUGUUUAAUAAAGGCAGCACGACCAACUUAUAAAUUGGGACAUUUAAGUCCCUAAACUUAUAAAAUGGGACACUUAAAUCCCUAAACCCUUAUAAAUGGGACACUUCGACCAUCACGGCAUUCAAGAUUUUGUUAACAAUUUUCCUUAAUUGGGAGAUAUUUAUAAGUUUAGGGACUUAACUGUCCCAUUUUGAACUUUAAGGAUUAAAGUGGGUAAUCAUCCAAAAUUUGGGGGGACAAAGUGGAAUUAACCCUAUUUUUAAAUUUUAUAAUAUUAUUAUCGCAAUUAAUAAUGAUAAAUAAUACAAUAUAUUGGGAGGUUGUGUUAUAUUAAGUCAUAUUAAUAAUACAAUAUUAAGUCAUAUUAUUGUAUUAUUUAUGGUUGUGUUAUAUUAAGUCAUAUUAUUGUAUUAUUUAUCAUUAUUGAUUGCGAUAAUAAUAUUAUAAAAUUUAAAAAUAUGACUUAAGUAAAUUUUAUUAGUAAUUUAAUAGCAUACUCGAUUAUCAUGUUAAUUUAUAAAUUUCUCAUUAUUCUAAUAUCAUAUUUUAAAUUUUUGAUAAUUUUGGUUUAUAAUAGAAUUUUAGUAAUAUGAUUUAAGAAUUUUAAUUUAAAAGUAUUACACUGUAAUUUGAAAAUUAGUAUUUCAUGUAAAACGUAAAAUCUUAAUUACGCCUAUUUAAGGUUACAUAAAAACGUCAGGAAAAAACCUGGUCGCUCUGCCUUUUAUUAAACAUUAAAUAACUUAUUAAAAAUUACAUAUAAAAUAAUAAUGGGUAGGUAGAAUGCUUCGUAAAAAAAAUAAACUAGAAUGAACGGCGACACUUAUUAAAAAUUACAUGUGAAAUAAUAAAUAACUUAUUACAUUUAUUACAUAUGAAAUUAAAUAUUAAAUAACUUAUUAAAAAUUACAUAUGAAAUAAUAAAAGUUAGUAUGAAAUAAUAAAAGUUAGGAAGAAUGCUUCGAAAAAGAAAAAGAAAAAAAAAAGGGACAAAAGCUUAGCCGCUCAUCUGAUUAGCGGCGAAGCAAUUUGACCUCAACGGUCCCAUCAACCAAUUCCAUUAGCACGGUCUCAUCAACCAACCAAUUCCAUUAGCGAAUUAGCGAAUAAGGACAAAAGCUUCGCCGCUCAAAGGACAAAAGCUUAGCCGCUCAUCAGAUGAGCGGCGAAGCAAUUUGACCAAUAUUCCUUAAGGGACCCAAAAUAAAUGAGAAUUAAAAGGGUUUUUAUUAGUAGCCUCUAUUCUCACUUGCGGCGACCCUUAAUCAGCAACUCCCCCUGGAUGACCCCAAUUUUCUGAGCUUUUUCAAAUUUAACAAUAUUGUAAGAAAUUCGCCGCUUUUAUGGGUGCUACCACAUGAGUUAAUGAUAUCGUUAAAAUGUUGGCCAAGUUUUUCAAAAAUGAUUUAGUGUAUGCUGAGUUUAAGCAAACAACUCAAAAAAUAAAAGAAGAAACACAAUUGUAAUAUCUUAAAGAAAUUUUUGUUUAAUGAUUUGGCUACUCACUAUAAUGGAUUUUGAUGUUUCAAACUAAACUAUUGACUAAAGUUAAUUGAUUUCAAUUAAAAAUGAUGGCUGGACUUUUUAAAAAACAAAAAGUGGUCAUUGGACUUUUUAUAAAGAAAAUCACAAAAUAACAAGAAUAUAAACAAACUUUCUAUGUUUGAUACUGAUAAACUAAUCAAAUUUAAGAUAUUUAUAUUUAAAAAUGCAUUGAAUAGUAGUCCAUAUUUUGAAUCUUAGUCCAAACGGAAAUUAAUUAAUAAUUAAACAAGUUUUUUUUUGGUUGUGUAUGAAAAAGAAUUCAAUUAUUUAUCUUGUUCAAGAAAAUUCAGCUUUUCAUUUUUUUGGUUAAAAUGUUAAUGACAUUCAAAAAAUUUAAAAUUCAAUUCUAUACAAAAUUUGGAAAAGAUUAAAUGUAAGAUAAAUUUAGAAAAAAAAAUGAAAUAGGACAAAUACUGAAAUUCUACGUUUCAUAGACUCGAGUAUAAGUACUAAACAUAGGUACGUUUUUAGGCGUCAGAUUCGGAUACAUAUCUCUGAAAUCCCUUCCGAAUACAAAAUAGGACCAAUAUAUAUUUGAAUUAUGCAGUGUAUAAUUUACUACCAAGAUUAAAAUACAUAUAAAGCGGUGUAUCAUUAACUAAUGCAUAACUGUUACCAAAAUCGCAAUGUGUAACUUUAUAAUCAAUAUCACAAGCAAUGUAUAACUCUAUGAUCAUUGAUCACAAAGAAUCAUUAAGCUCGUAAAUUCUUAAACAAUACAUAAUUCUAUCAUCAACAUCAUAUAGAAUCAUUAAGCAGUUUGUAAUUCCAUUAAAAUGAUUAACUCAAUCAUUAAAAAAAGUGCAUAAUUAAUUAUAUUAUUCAAGAUCAUAAUUGAUUAUACAACUCUUCAUCCACAUUUAUAAGUUUUUUCAUGCACAUACAUAUUAUGAGUAUACAAUAAUAUAUUAUAGUGAAUUGUAUGAAAGUUUAUAAUGAAUUAUAUUAUGCAGUCUCUUAUAAUAAUCAUAAUAAUUCAUGUACUAUUAGUAAACUUACAUGCACAUGAUACCAGUACAGGAGAAUACAAUAAUAUACUAACAUAGUAUGCUAGCGUGUGAUGAUAUGAUAUCCAUUUAAUAUGACUUUACAAUUUGCACAGUCCCAAAUUCCGAAUAUGCACCAGUUUCCAAACUCGUUAAAAUUUCCUGGCAAGAAUUCGGUGAGAUGUUGUGUACAGCUUUAUUGAAGAAAAGGCAAAGGAUGUAGUUAAAGAUGUAAUUAAGCUUCAACGGGUUUUGAAGUGGAGAUUGCCCAAGAGAAAUAUGGGGGACCUAAAACCUUGGCGAUGCUCAAAAACAAAGUGGAUCAUUUCUACUUUCAUUAGUGGCUUGAAGAAAGAAAUCAAGCCAAUGGUUAAGAUGCUAAGACAAGAAACAUAAUAGUUGUUCAAACUCCAGGAAUGUUCAAUUAAAAACAGAAAAAAAUAUAUAUAUAGCUUAAUGCGAACUCUUUGUUUCUGAGUACAGUGAACGAUUAUCAAUUUUCCAAUAGACACUUUUUGCAGCGUCUACAACUUAUGGAUACAGAGAGGUAUAAGCAUAAUCACAUGGAGUAGCUAGAUUGAGUGGUUCAGAUGACGUGAAAAUAAAGAGGCAUAAGCCCCAUUAGCUAUCUUUAUGAGCUCAUCAUGUCUACCUUUCUCAACAAUCACGCCAUUUCUCAGAAAUGCAAUGGUGUCACUUCCUCUAAUUGCUGUCAACCUGUGAGUCACAACAAUUGCUGUUUUGCUUACCAUCACUUGGUUUAGUGCAGCUUGAACUGCUUUUUCUGACUCUGCAUCUAGAGAACUUGUUGCUUCAUCUAGUAAUAGGAUUUUUGGGUCCUUCACUAUUGCCCGUGCAAUGGCAAUCCGUUGCUUUUGUCCGCCGGAUAAUUGAGCUCCACAUUCCCCUACAUGAGUAUUAUAGCCUUGAGGUAACGCUGAUAUGAAGUUGUGUGCAUUUGCUAAUUUUGCAGCUGCAACAAUUUCAUCUUCUGUUGUAUCUUCUUGCUUGCCAUAUGUUAUGUUGCGACGAAUGGUAUCUUUGAAGAGUAUGGGCUCUUGGCUCACCAAAGCUAUGUGUUGUCGCAGCCAUUUCAGGUUGUAGUUUCGGAUAUCAAUGGCAUCCAAUAAUAUACAUCCUGAUUUAACAUCAUAAAAUCUCUCUACUAGACUUAUUAAUGUUGACUUGCCAUUCCCACUUUCUCCAACAAAAACAACAGUCUGCAAACUCAAAUUCCAUUGCAUCAUAUGCAAAUUGGAUGAUAAGUGCCAAAUAAAUGAAUAUAGGUUGAAUGGUAACUUGAACCAUUUUGAAUGUAAAAGGGAGCUAAAAUAACAGCAAAACAGUGUUGCAGCAUUAUCCCAUGUUUCAUAUCCUUGGUUGAAGCUUCCUCAGUAUUGAUUUGACUUAUGUGGUUAAAUUCCAAUUAGUGCUGAGAUUAACUGAAUUAAACAUAGUCCAAUCCUAUUAAUCCUUUUCAAUAAGAGCCUGGGUUUAACAGAAAUGUGUAGUGUACAACUCUGAUACAAUCCAAGUCCAGUUGGAGCCUAAAACCAACAAGAGUUAUAGAGUCCAGUGGAUUGAAGCAGGUCUGACAACUAUACACAUCAGAUGAUCUACUGCGCAUGAAUUCAAAGGUACUAGCAGGAAUUAAGAAAGAGAUUCAGUGAAACAAACUUUGUACCUUUCCAGGAGAAAUGUUCAAGGACACAUCUUUCAGAAUUUGCACAUUUGGCCGAGAUGGAUAACUGAAGCUAACAUUUUGGAAUUCAAGGUCACCUCUUAGAUUUUUCAGUGUCAUGCCCGUUGUGCUACUGGAACCAUUUGUCUCUUUGCUGUCAAAAAUGUUAUACAAUGAACUAGCCAAAGCAGAGACUUUAUUUGCAUCGAAUGCCGUACCAUUGGCUUGUGCAAUUCCUGCUGCUGAGGCUAUGAAAGCCAAGUAAACCUGCAAUCACAGGCCAGAGCUCCUAAUUUUACACUAUAAACUUCAAUGAGAAAAUGAAAGUAUAAGUGCGCUAUCCACCUUGAAAAGUUCUGCCACAGUUGCUUUCUUGUGUUCAACAAGAACGGAACCAAUGUAGAAACACAGGGCACUUGUGAAAAAGUAUCCAAAUUGAGAAAUGCCAAAGUUGAUACUUCUUAUAAUUCCUAGUCGGAUCCAGUGUGUCAUUUUGGUGCCAGAUUUUUUCCGAUAUAACUCCAUCACCUUAUCUUCUGCACAAAUUGAUGCGACUGUUCUUAUAUUUCCAAUGGCAUCACUUGCAACUUGACUUUGCUCAGCAUAAAUAAGCUGAAAACAAGUGAAAAUUUUGUUAAGUUGGUAUGCUGUACAAUCCUUAUUCAUGCUGCACUGUGAAUACAAAUAUCAUCUGAUCAACCUCAGCAUCUGCAGCAAAUCUUUUGAGGAAUUUUGUUUGAAUGAAGCUUAGCAUUGCCAACAUAGUACACAAUGCGACAAGUAUCAAUGCCAACAUCCAGUUCUCCAUUAAGGCUAUGAACAAUCCAGCAAAAACUGUUGAUAUAUUUUGGAUAAGGAGGGACAAGCCAUCUUUCAGAAGGCUCUGCAACAUUGAAGCAUUGCAAGAGAGCCUUGCACCAACC
rnacentral:lncRNA from 1 species